GAAAUUAUAAGUUCAAUAAAAAAAUGACUAAAACAAAAAACACUAAAGAAGAAGAAAAUGUUACAUAAAUAUGAGAAGAAACUUGUUACAUAAAUAUGGAUGUCACUUCGCACCCUCAUCUAAGCAUCCUCAUACCGACGCUUCCAACCUAUUUCAUGAAUUUUACAGUACCUUUACACCUCCUGGCAACCCAUACCAACCGAUACUUCUCAUCCUUGGAAGUCAUUAGAGACGGAGGAGCACGACCCUUCUAUAACAAUACAAUACAAAAUUUAAAAUACAAAAUAUAUGCAUCUUUUAUAUAUAUACUAUAUACUCUAUACUACUAUACACUACUAUAACACCUAAAAGAAAAAAAAAAAGUAUACUGAAUUAGAAAGAAAGAAUAAACAUCGUCAAAUUCCUCAAUUAAUUAUUAAACAAAAAAAAAUAUUUUGUUAAAGAAAAUGGUACCUAGUUGGUGUGGCAAUUGAGAUUAAUUAAUUAGAAAAAUUUUCUAAAUUGAUGGGGUUGGGUGAAGGUGCAUGGAGAGGUGGGUGGUUAUUUUUAUAUACAAAGUGAAUUGUUUCAACUUCUUUUAGAUCUCACUUCUUAUGGAUAGUAGACCAAGGGGCAUUGAAAAAAAAAAAAAGAAGAAAGUAAAUGUGAAUAAAUACAACGGAAAGUGAACAAGCAUUAAAAAAAAUAGACUAAAUGCAUUUUUUUAGAGAAGAGCAUGAAAUAGCUUAAGACCCCAUCUUCGUCAAAUUAAGAAGGUGCAUCCACAUAGGAUUUAGAUAUAAAAAUUCAUGUAUAGAUAGAUAGAUAUGAAUAAGUUAAAUGUAUAAGUUGUUGUUGAUAUUUCAUAUGUACAGAGGUGUUGUUGUAUGUUGCGGCUCUGUGCAUGUGCUAAGGAAAGCGUCGGCUAUAACUUAGGGCAUUACAAGGUGGGGGGCCUCUUUCUAUUUUUGAUCAAUUGCAAUCCACCAAAAACCUGCUCCUGCCCCGUCUUGGCCUGAAUGAAAGGAUAAAUGGGGAUAAAAAAUAAGAUAAAAAUCAACCCGCUUAGAAUCUACUCCAACCCACCAAGAAAACGGAGCAGGAGAUGGGGGAACUGUAAGAUAUCGAAAUCCGACGAUAUUGGGUAACUUUGGCCAAAUGGGCCAAAGUGAGCGAUUAAACGAUUUGGACAAGUUCCAUUCGGUAUUNAUUAAUUUUUGGCUUAAGGUGAUUGUGUUGGCGGCCGACAACACGAUGCCGAGAGUCGAGAAUUAAGACACUUGCAAGCUUACCGCCUGAUUGAUGUUCUUUAACCGUUAUGUUUCGUGUUUACGACGAUGUUGUUGAGUUAAGUAAUUAACCAACUGUUUGCGUUUCAGGAGCUAUGGCACCAAAGAGACGCUACGUGCGUAGGACCGCUCCGGCACCACCUCGAGAGGUGCCCGGGCCAGCCGUGUCUCCAGUGGCGCCAGUGUCAGCUGGGCCUGCUGAGGUGCUGGGAAAAAAAAAGUUGGAGACAAAAUUGAAAAUAAGUCAAAAGGUAGUGCAGAAUACUUUUGAAAUCUAUGGACUAAAAUGAAACCUUAUUAGAAAUUCAAGAUCUGAUCCGGGACGAUCAAAUAUUCUAGAUAAGUUUCAACCGUUGCGGAUAAGGCGGAGACCGUUUCAAUUAUUUCGGUUAGGAUAAGAAUCAAGAUGGUUCCAACUAUUCGGUUAGAAUAAAGAUGAAAUUGUUAUUUUUAAAAUAUUCUGUUCUUAUUUUCUUGUAAACCUCAAGGCUAUAAAUAGAGCCCUUACUGGCCUAAUAGGGGCUCUAUUGGCUCUUGUAGAGUCACUACAGUUUAGAAAAAAUUAAUAUACAAACUCUUCCACAUAAAAAUAUUAUGUUCUUUUUUUUUCAGAUAUCCAUUGGAAAGGUGCUGCGACAUUGCUUACUCCUUCGGAGGAUCAAGAUCUCGGACAAAUUGAAGGACGGAUCAAGAUCUCAGGCAAAUUGAAGACGGAUCAAGAUGCAAAUUAAAAGUUUGGAUAUUAGUGGUACAGUUUAUUCUUUCAUGUGCCUUAUGGCAAAUGUUUGUAGUGAAAGGUUUUAGUGUUUUAAGUCAAAUCCUGCUUUGAUCUUCAUUUUAAUAUAUAGUUCUGUUUUUUUGCUAAUUGAAGUUGGUGUUAGUUACUUUAAAUAUUUGCUGUUGAUGAAAGUGGUGGGGGUGGGGCUGCCAUCCGCCUUGCAUUCUCAAGUGCCUUGCUUUUGCGUUCUGCGUUGGCCCUUACCGACUGCUGCUUGUGAAGUUGUGAAACCGCUGAUACAAGCCUCCUUUCACAGAAAACCAACCCUUUUUGUUACAGGGCAAAUGUUUUUCAUCCUCCAAAAUAUUAAGAUUUUUGUAUUUUACUAAAGAAAUUAGAGCGACUUUUUUACAAAAUAAUUAUUUAAAAUUUUAUAAUUUGCGAAAUAAUCCUAUCAAAUUUGUAUUUGGUAAAUUAACUCUCAAAAUGCAGUGAAUCAUUCACCGCAUUCUGAAAGUCUCUAAAUUCUUUUAAAGACAGUUAAUCAUUCACCGUCUUACAUAGAUUAUACGGAAAAUAAAAACAAGUGAGGUUGGUAGGAUUGUGUGUGAAAUAUUAGAAUUUUUGUUUGAUUGUUAAAAUUGUAUGGAUAGAUUAUUAAAAAAAAAAUUUGAUUGUUAAGAUAUAUGGAUAUAUUAUUAGGGUUUUCAAAUCGUUAAGAUUAUAUGUGAUAUUUUAUUAUUAUGAUUGUAUGGAUAGAUUUUUAGGAUCUUUUUUAUUGUUAGGAUUAUAUGGAUAGAUUAUUAGAAUUUUCAGGUUAUUAGGAUUAUAUGUGAUUUGUUGAAAUAUUUAUGUGAUUGUUAAGAUUAUAGAAAGAAAUAAUAAACAAGUGAAAGGCAGUGAAUCAUUCACCGCUUUUCUAAUAAAUUAGGAAAGCGGUGAAUUGUUCACCAUCUUUAUAAAGGCGGUGAACCAUUCACUAUCUUUAAAAGAUUAGUUUUUUAAAUAUAAUUUUGACAAGAUUAUUUCGCAAAUAAUAAAAAUUUUAAAAGGUUAUUUUAUAAAAAAAAAAGGUCCAAAUUAGAGCGUACACUUGAAAUACAAACUUCUACGCUUCUUUUUAGAGAUAGAAAGAUAGUUUGUUACCUGAUAAAUUUUCUACUCUGUUUUUUGAGGGAGAGAAAUAGCAUGCUAUCUGAUUCGUUUAUGUUUCCAGAAAUAACUUAGCUUGAAAUAUGAAAUAAGGGCUUUUUUUGCAAAUAGCCCUCUUACAAUUUUUUUUUUUAAAUUUGGCCCUUUUGCCUUCUACAGACCAUCUCUAACAAAAGUUGUAAAGGGUUUAACGGUUGAUACGGAAGAUCCAAAAUCCAAACCAAAGCCUACUACACAUUUCCAACUAAGUUUAUUCUAAAAAAACUAAUGAAUGACUGCCUUUUUUAUCAAAAAAAAAAAAAAAGCAAAAUCUUUUAGCGUUCUAAAUAACAAUUAUAUUGAGCAGUAAUUGUUACGUUAUUGAUAUGUUAGUAAAUCUAUAUGACAUUUUUAAACUGCGUGCAUCAGGUAAUAAAUUUUUUUUUUAUAUUAUAUAUGUUAACACAUUGGUAAUAUAUGAAUGCACUGUAACGGAGGAUUUAAUAACAGUAUAUAAUAUGAAUGAGCUAGACUAAAUUACAAAAGCCUCCCUAUAAUUUGGCUUAGGUAGCUUUAAUAAAGACACCUCUUUUAUUUAAUCUUAAGAACCCCCUCACAUAUAUGAUGGAGAUUUAAAGGAAUUAUCUCAUGUACACCGACCAGAAAGAUAACAAAAGAGAGAAUGAAAUAACAAAACCUCUUAAAAUGAAGAGAAUUUUAAAAUUGGCUUUGAUAUUUUGUUAUCCGUAUAUGAUUAAGAAAAAAAAAAAAACAGCGAAUAGUUUUAAAUGUACCAACUAUACUAAUAAAGCUUCACGGGUAAAUUUGACACUCGUCGCAAAUUUUUAAACCUAUUUAACACUCUAAUACAAUACAAAAUUAAAAUUGACGCAAUAGUUUAUUCAACGACUUUACUGUGACACAAAAUAAAGCGAGAAGGAGUCUGCAAAUUUUUAAUUUAGCCUUAAAAGUCAGGCAAAACAGCAGUAUGACACCCUCAAUAUAUAGACCACUUCGCACCAGACUCCUCAAUUUAGAAAUAAACCCCUCUUAUGCUGGUUUUACGCUCAAAAAUGGACGGUAAAAGUGAAGAGUAAAUCUCACACCCACCCAUAUAGUUAGACACCCCUAUCCGACGAACUUUUGAUACUAAAAAAAAAAAGAAAGAAUUGGUAAGACAUGUAAGAAUAUUAGCCUUGGACGGAUAGGAACUUUUUGAAUGUACGGCAAGCAUUGCGUGCUCUCUCUCUUUUUCUUUUUCUUUUUCUUUUUGAAAAUGUCCAUGGAAUCAAUGCAGCACAGCCAUCCUGCUGAGAGAGCCAGAGUUCUGCUGAGAGAGAGCCAGAGUUUGAAUACAGACCGACGUCCCGAGAGAGAGAGAGAGAGAGAGAGAGAGAGAGAGAGAGAGAGAGUGGUACCAGCCACCUGCGCUGGGGCAGUGGUGGUGAAGUUUAGAAAGCAAUGUCCAUCUUUCCAUUUUUCUUUUUACAUCAUUGCGCCUAAAUAUCAGUUCAUGAAUCAGAUCAUCCCAACUUCCCUCGAGCUCCUCUUCUUUCUCCCCUUCUCUUCUUCUUAAGCCAUUCACAACUGUUCGCAGCUUUUCAGAAACCGGCUUCUUCUCCCAACUCUCCAGCAGGCUACAUACUGCUAUUCAGGCUGCUUUUCAGUAAACACAAGUAACAACCACAAGGAACGGACGCCCAUAACUAAGCCACAAAUAACACAAAUUACGUUCGCUGUAGACAACAAAAUCCUCAAAAUUUCACACACAUUAACCAAAUUUACAUGGAAGGUGCCGUCGUGCUAACUGAUGAACAUCCAGAUUUUGCAAAGCCUGCUGAAUGCACAAGUUUGCUGAAUGCACUAGUUUCAUCAUUAAAAAAGGGCUUAUGGUACAACAAAUUGAGCAUCUGCAUCCCAAUUUAUCAGCUAAGAUAUUGAUAAGAAAAAUGUACUAUACUAGUUCAAUAGUGCCGCCGUGCUACCCCAUUCCGUUGCAUCCUCAGGAAUAUAUAUAUAUAUAUAUAUAUAUAUAUAUAUAUAUAUAUAUAUAUAUAUAUAUAUAUAUAUAUAUAUAACAAGAGAGGGAAGAACGAAAAAGGAUUAUAGUUACUGAAUGAGAGCAAGAGAGCACCACACAUGGAAAGAGGUGAACCUACAUCAUAAAUCAAAGAAGGAUUGCGAACGCAACUGAAUGCAGCACAUGAAUCGAGAUAGCUUGAACCGAAUUUUCAACACUAAUAGUCAACUUGCGCGGAACAAGAGAACAUCCAGAUGGAGGCACAAUUCUCAUCACCUAACAAGAGCAGGAAACAUCCAAGGUUAUCAAAAACAUCAUGGAAAUGCAUCUCAUGUCUUAAGUAUCAAAAGUAUCCAGAUCUGUACGACUAUAAACAAGUCGCAGUUACAACAAACCUGUGAGCAACAAGACAAUUCGCCCGGUACCUAAACAAGGCUAUAUACCAUGAUAACCGAAAAAAUGAGUACAACAGUAACAAGUAAACAUAUCAAACGUUCCAAUGAAGUGUUUUCGCAACUAGUCAAUCUCCCAUUAAUUUUAAUAAGGACCACUAUAACCUGAGUCAAAGUUCAGAAGACUAAAAGAGAAUAUUUCAAUAGGUUAUCAACCUGCAUAAACAUUAUUAAAAAUGCUAGCAAAAUCUUGAUCGAGCGCCUAAGGGAUUUACUGUAGACUUGGUAGUUUUGGCUUAUGUCAUUUAAAGCAACACUCCUGAAGUGCACCGAGACAUGGAAAGGAUCUAAACAAUGGAAAGAGACCAUAAACAUGGUAGUAAGUUCUUUUUAUUUAUUUUGGAGGACAGUAAGCCAAAUGACUUAUCUCAAGUAUGAGUAGAAAUUUCCAACUUCAUCUGAUUGAGGUUUCUAAGAAGUUUCAAAUGAUUAGCAGCAGUUAUACACGGAUCUCUCGCAAAAUGAAAUGGCUCGUCAAGUUAUAAAUGAUGUCUAAGCUGCAAGCAGCAUCUCUAAUCUUUAACUGAAUAAUACAGGAUUGAAUUUUCUGUAGUAUGACAGAAAAGGAACAGGUGCCUUUUCCAUUAUGAACUAUUUAUUCUAUACAACCUUGCAUAAAUGACAACCUGCUGACAUAAUGGUCAAAUAUGCCUCAAGUCUACGAAUCAAGAACAGUGGACGGGGUUCUGCAAUAGGUUUCAACUAAGCCAUAAAGCCCACGAAGCUCACAACUUGCGUGAAGUUUCUGUUCUGACAUAAGUCAAUGUUAAAUAUUGACAUGGUAUACAUUGCCAACUUAGAAAAAGCAAUAAAGCAAUAAAUCACAAACAAACCUACAUGAUGAUUGAUGGUUUAAGAGGAGAUAUGACAAACUUGCCAUUGUAACAAUAUGUGCAAAGAUGCAACAAGACUGAUGAUGCAACAUUGUAGAAUGAACUGCUUAGAAAAAGAUGGUGUGUUUUUACCGGCCAAAAUUGUGUUCUCCUCAAAAUUGUCUAGCAUGUCAAAUCUUCGGUUUCCAGAUGAUGAUGCGGCCAACGGUAAAUAUGGAUGAAAAGUAAACCCAUUGACGGUAUCUAAAAAGAGGGGACAAAAAUUAGCAAAGUUAAAUAGGAAUUCUGUAUCACCAAAGAUACCGAAUCUGCGCCUUCCAUAAUAUAGAGUUAACAAAGUGUACCUGAUGCAGCUUGGAAGCCUAUUUUCCAUUGACCACUUUGAAGGUCAUAUAUGUGAACUAGACCAUCCUGCUAUCAUAUUCAUUAAAAGCUGAAGUGAUUUGAUUGCUUAAACAAGAAUCAAAAGGGAAUAUAGAAUAGAAGGACCAUCACCUGUCCACCAGUACCAAGGUGUCGACCACCAGGCUCAAUAUCAAAUGAUAUUCUUUGGUUUGUAUUAUCAGAUGAUCGGUACAACCUAAUCAUGAGAUCCACAAGAAGUACAAAGUUACAACUGGUCCCAGAAUGGUAACAUACAUUUAAUGCUAAAUAAGAAUUUUGUACAAGAUAAAAUAAUUUCAGACAAAAUGAAAGAAAGAACAAUGACGUUGAUUUGUAUAUCAAGUGCAUUAGCUGCGGCCCUAGGCCUACGGAGACCAAUACAAAGUUUGAUUGUACAUCGGGUGCACUAGCAGUCCCCUGUGGCUAAGCAUUUGCAUCCAACGUAAAGUUGACAAAGAAAGACGACUAUGACAAUUAAAAAUAAAAAAACUAAAUGACAAUAUAAUAUUUGCUUGGGUCAAGAUGAAGAAAAUUUCAACUAUACAAUACGCUAUUUGACACUCCUACAUGCCAUGUGGCAUCCUCUCAUUGUUUGACUCUUCCCCUUCCGAAACAUCACUUUCUCUCUCCCUAUUCAACGCUUGCCCUCCUGAAGGAUCUAUCUCCCUAAGCAUCUCUCUCUCCUCUCUCUAACCUCCUCCAAUAUCUGUCUCUCUUCCCUAUGCCCCUCCCAAAGUGUCUCUCUCUCUACUCUCUCUUCCUAUGCCCUCUCUCCUUCCUUUCAUCUGGUGGCUUGCGUGGCGACAGCGGUGGUCGCAACAGCGGCAACGGCCUGGGCGGCAUCAGUAGCGGUCACGACGGCAGUCUAAGCAGCGGUCACAGCGACGACGGCAAUGACAACUUGGGCGGCGUUAGCGGCGGGUACGACGACGGCAACAUCGGACAAAAAAAAAAUCACUGCUAUUAAUCUCCUAUUCUUUUUUUUUCUUCUUUUUUUUCCUCCUCCUUAUUCUCUUAUUCUUCUUCUAUGUACCUUCUUUUUCUUCUUUCUCUUCUUUCUUCUUUUUUUUCACUUCGUGCUUGACAAUGGCGGUGGCAGCUUGGGCGGUGCUGGCGGCGGUCGUGGCAGCGGUGGCAGCUUAGGCAGUGUCAGUGAUGGGCACGGCGGCGGCUUGGGCGGCCGCGUUGAUGGUCACGAUGGCACCAACGGCUUAGGCGGCGUCAACGACGAUUGCGGCGGCAGCAUCAGCAGUGGUCACAAUGGCAACGGCGACUUGGGCAGCAUUAGAUUGUUGCGUUGUUUUGGGAAGCAGCAGGGGAAGGGAGAGGAGAAGAGUUUUACGAAGAUUACUUGAUCAUCAAGUGUAAUAAUAUAGAUUAAUUCUAUUAAUAAGUGGGUAUGCAUUAUAUAUAUAUAUAUAUAAAGAAAAAGAGAAUGAUCAGAAUUCUAUCUCCCUUUUUUUACACUUCUUCUUCUCUUUUUCUUCUUCUCUGUACCUUUCAAUUUUUUUUUAACUUCUUCUUUCUCUUGCCUGGGUGUGUGGGUGCAUGUGUGAACUGGGGGGAACUAGGGGAGGCAAUAAUAAGAGGGGGGUUCACAAUCGCAGUGGCGUCGGUGGUGGAGGUCGUGAUGAAGUAGCACGAGGGACGGCUUAGCGAUGUUGAUUUGGCCUCAAGAAAGGCCGCCGAAGCAGGUGUGUCAGAGUUUCUGAUCUUUUUCCGCGAUUCCCAAGUUUUUGGCGCCGAAUCAGCUUUUUUUCGUUGUUUUUUGUAAUUUGCAUGAUUUUUAAAAAUUUUGAUUUUGGGUGAAAAAUUAGCAAUAAUGUGUUUGAUUUAAAUACUUAUCAGAAUUUAACGAAUUUUUGAUAUACAUAUUUUCACCUUUCUCAAUUUUUCAGUACAAAAUAUUUGAGAGCUACGCCGCACUUAAAAAAAAGUAUUUAAGACAUUCUAAAGAAAAAAAAAAUUCGCUACAAGAAUUUCAUGGUUUAAUGAUUUUUCUGUUUAAGAGCUAUUUUUAAUGGUUUGGUGAUUUUUCUAUUUGAGAGAUAAAUGGCACUUCAAAAUUUUGAUUUCAACAUAAUUAUUUUUCCCUAAAGAAAACUAUUUUGUAUGGUUUUUACAUCAAAACCAAAACCUCUUUAGGUGUUAUUUCUUUAAAAAUUGGUUAUUCUUUUUCGCAUAUUUAUUUUUAUUUUUACUUAAUUAUUUCUCUGAAAACAUUAUAUUUAUAUUAUAAUUAAUAUAUUUGAAUGUAAAAUUUUAUAUAUUCUUUUUGAAUGUCUACCCGCUACGAAGCGGGGCUCCUUCAUUAGUUCAUUAACAUUAGCAAUAAAUUGAUCCGGAUAGUCAAGAGAGCAUGGAUAGGAAACUUGCUGACAAAUAAAGCCAGCCUAGCAUCUCAAAAUAUCUCAAUGGCCUGAAUUCAUAAAUGGACGAUAGUGAUGAAAAAAAUAUUCCUCUUCAUAUAUCCAUGCACGUGAAAAUAUGUGAUUAAUGGAAAGAAAGAGACAGAUGAUGCAAUUACAAAGGAAAAAAUGCAUAUAAAAUAUAAUUGAGAGGAAGGAACUAUUAUGAAGAACCAUAUUGCAUUUACUUGUAAACAAUCAGAACUUUUAUGCUUUAUUGGCCAUCCUAAAUAAAUCACAACAGUUCAGUUAUCAAUAGACUUACUUGUAAACAAUGCCCACAGUGUUGCGGAUGUCCCAACAUAAUAUAUAAGGAUCCUACAAAAUAGUACAGAUGAAGAUUACUCUUGAGAUAAGACGCGAAGUUUUUUUCUUGCCAACAAACAACUUCAUGUUUUCUAUAUACAGUCAUCAUGUCACAUAAACCUAUAAUUUCUAAGAAUGCAAUGUUACAAGUAAUUAGAAAGGAGAAAUGAAAACAAGGAAAACACGCACACACGCACACACACAGAUAUAUAUAGCGAUGAACUAGAAUAUUUUAGAAGUAUUAAGCCACUUUUUACUUCUAAGUUUUUUAUCUUUAGAUCAACCCCAUUGACCACUACUAGCCUUUUGAUCAAUACUAUUCCACCAAUCACCACUAAACCCAAGGGGGACCAUUAUUAUCCCAACCGAUAAUUCUUCAUCUAAGGGCUACAAACCUAGAAGUAAAAAGGCCCAAAUGCUUUCGAAACCACGAAGGCCUCCAUACUGUCAAGUUGUUUGCGAUGAUCGGACAUCCGAUGCGGCGAUUGGCUUUGUUAGAAAUGAUCUAUUAUAUUAGAGCUAUCUAGAAACCAGAUUUCAUUGUUUUUCGACUUCAUUUGCCUAAUAAGCGAAUAGUCUAAAAAUGAAAGAUUGAAAAUAAAAAUCUCAUAAAAAACAGUGAUAAAAGACUUAAAUUUCAUAUGGGAAGAAAUGAUCUUGCUCUCAAUAGUAAAUAGAAUUUUUUAUUAAAAUUUCAUUUUUAGACUAUUCGCUUAUUAGGCAAAUGNGAAAGAUUGAAAAUAAAAAUCUCAUAAAAAACAGUGAUAAAAGACUUAAAUUUCAUAUGGGAAGAAAUGAUCUUGCUCUCAAUAGUAAAUAGAAUUUUUUAUUAAAAUUUCACCUAAUUUGAAAGUAUAGUAGUCGUAUAUAUAUAUUUUCUCCGGCGACUAUCCUCUUGAGAGGACAAGGGUUUUCAUCCUAUCAAGUGGUUUUCGAUGAUCAGAAUUCCGAAUCAACGAUCAACACCGUUAAAGUCGUGAAAAUGAACAGUUGAAAAUUCAAUAGCUGAAAUGAAUAAACUUGUGAAAAUAAAUGUUAGACCUUCUCAAUUGCAGAUCGGAGUUAUCAAACCUUAUCUACACAAUUAAGAAAGAUCUAUCAAACAUUCAAGUGGUUUGAAUUGCUCCACACUGUUAAACGAGCAAAUGGCUCAUAUAGUCUCCUUUAAUCACUAACUAAAUAACUUUUAAACAUUUUAAAAUUUGGUUCCUAAACACUUCAAAUUCACUAGAUCAACUUUAACAAUGCCGAUCGUCGAUUUGAAAUCCCAAUCAUCGAAAUCCACUUGAUAAGAUGAAGGGCCCGGUCCUCUUAAGAGGAGAGUAGAUGGAUCUCUCUCUCUCUCUCUCUCUCUCUCUCUCUCUCUCUCUCUAUAUAUAUAUAUAUAUAUAUGUGGAGUUGAGCUGGAAUGCUAUUAGUGGCAAAUGAGCUCCGUUGCCACCCAUUUGUUUUCGAUGGUGGAGCCUCCAAAUCGACGAUCGGCACUAUUGAACAUGAUCUAUACCAUUUGAAGCAUCUAGAAAUCAAAUUUCGUAUUUUUUCGAUAUUGUUCUCUUCUCCAUCAAGUGGACACAAAAAUGAACGGCUGAAAAUGAAUAUCCUUUAAAAAGUGAUGAUAGAAAUCUUGUAAUCAAGAUCAAGAGUAUAGAUCUUGUUUUAAAUAGUUUAAAGAAUUUUCUAACCAAAAAUUAAUUGAUUUAGAUAUUUUUACGCUAUUAAACUAGAGAACACCUCAUAUUGACCAAUAAAAUUACAAAUGUUGAAAUCCUUUGAUCAUUAGGUCAAUGAUGUCAAAAAGAUUUGAAAUUUAGUUUCUAGAUGCUUCAAGUGGUAUAGAUCAUGUUCAAUGGUGCCGAUCGUCGAUUUGGAGGCUCCAUCGAAGAAAACAAAUGGGUGGCAAUUGAGCAUGUUUGCUACUGAUAACAUUCCAACUCAACUCAAUAUAAAAUAUAUAUGGAAAACGUCCUUUGAUGGUUAAAAACCUUGAUUUUCUCAAAAUUUUGAUAGAAAAAUAUAAAUGAUCAACAAUAAAUGAACACAGCCUAAAUUUAUUUUUCCACCAAAUCUCAAAGCUUACGUCCAAUCACUUAUUAUUGUUAGAGUUUCAAUAAGCAAAUAUUAGGUAUUAGCUAAAAACCAUGCCAUAAUAUGGGAAACAUUAGUGGAACAAUAGGAAGCUGAAUUGUAAUAGCACAUAGCAGCGAAAAAAUCUUACAAAACAAUUCAAUACAUGUGGAUUUUUCCUACAAAUUCACCCAAAGUAAUCAUAAAUACUGAGAUAUCAUGUAAAUAAAAACAGCUUGCUUGCAACAACUAAUAGCUAAGUGGUAGUGCAGCUUUUCCUUUUAUCAAACAACAAUGUAAGAUGCAGUGCCUUCAUUUUUUUUUUUUUUUGACGCCAGAAUGAAACCAUUGCUUUCCAGUUCCUUUACUAAUGGAUUUCUUGACAGAAUGGCAGCUGUUAAUAGUAAAUUACCUAGGAGGGUAGGAAGGCCUAGGAGAAAGAGAGUUGCCAACAGAGCUGAGAAGUAAGGAGAACAUGAUACCAUGCAAAAUAGAAAUGAAAUGAUGUCAAUAUUCCUUUUCUCUUUGCACACACCUUCCAAUGAAGAUUGGAGCAAGAGCUCAGCAAUAAUUAACAAAUCACUGAUAGUCUCAUAAUAUACUUUAGAUCUCUAAGAUCACAUCAGCAAGACCAUCAAAUUAGAUACUUUGAUCGUCAGAUUUGAUCAACUAUAUCUAGGCUAUACGGGUUCAUUGGUGCAUGAUUUUAUGUCCGAGAGUUCGAUGGAUUCUUGAUAAUGUUACAAUAUUUCAAAGAAUUAUAUUCUAGGGAAAAGGAGUGAAACUUAUUUAAGCACGAAAGAGAAGCAAACAUUGAGUUAGAAGCACCACAUCGAUUCAUAGACUAAUUUAGUGUCAUAGCAAAUGUUUAUACUGAAGGAAGUGGCAAAAGUGAAAGAAUUCUCAUACUGCGAAAUUUGUAAGAGAAAGGUCAAAAAGAACAAAUCGUAAGGACCCCAAUAUUUGAAUAAUUCUAAACAUAAUAAUUAAAAAGUAGGUUAUCGAAACCUUUAUGAAGUUUGAAGUGCAAGAACAAAUCUCAAUAGGUAUAUAAGACAAAUUAAGGAGAAAGAGGACCAAGAAUCUCAAAUACUCAGAUUACCUUCCGUCCUCCAGUAUAUAAAUAGUUCCCAUCUUUUGAAAAAAGGACCUGAGAAUGCGAAAACACUUUUUAGCCAUUUUACCCUCAAAUCAUGCAUGAUAAUAAAACUAACACUAAACGGAUGACAUAAACAACCUGUGUAACACCCCCUAGUUGGCCAUGUAAAACAUAUAAAGGCUCCAUAUUACUUUCUGCAUAUAUUGCUGUGGUUUGGCUGUAUGAACCCACAGCAAGCACUCCACUGUGCGUCGGAGAAAAGGAGAUUGAAGAUACAAUACCUGCAACAAAAAGAUUUUAAACAAAUAUUUCUUCCCCACGGAUUUCUAGGCAGCUUAAGAGAAUCGCUACUCCAGGGACCAAAACCAUGGAUACAGCUAGAUGAUGGACUAUAAGAUUAUCCAGCUAUAAAACAAUAGAGAAUAAACGAAAAUGUAUAUAAAAUAAAAAGAGGAAGAAUUAAGGUCCAAUAAUAUGGAUUUAAUUCAAUUAUCGUAUAUAAAAAUAUAGCUUGUCAAAAUAUUGAAGUUCCCAAAUUUAUGUAUACAUGAAUACACUGCACUUGAAACUCGAGCAUCAACACACACAGAGGCACGCACACAAGCACGCAUGCGCGCGAACACACGCAGAGAACACAUUCCUAAACAUAGAAAUCCGUAAUGGAAUAUCAAUGGCAAACAUGCGCUCACAGACAGAAGCAAAAACAAAAGAAGAAAACACAAUCCAAAAUAAACAAAUCUGUAAUGGAGUAUCAAUGACUCAACAGUAUCACUAAAACAUUCUCAAAUUUGACCAUAUCCACCAGUCUACUUGUAAAGAACAAACAAGAAUUCAAUGCAUUCCUCUUACAACGAUCUAUGAGGUUAUUAAUCUUUUUAUCUUUAUCUCUCCCUUUUUCUGAAGAGGAAGGAGAUGUUAAUGACUUAUGAGAGAAAGGCAAAGCUCUGAGUGGACUCGUGGAUGCACGAUUGAACAAGGAACAACACCGGAUGACCCAAAGGAUUAACUUCAUUCCGGGGCAAGAAGCCCUAUAAAGAGGCCAUCUUGACGCCUCCAACUGCACCGGAGAUUUUAAAUAUAAAACACUCUAAGGGCGACGGUGAAGCAUUCUAUUGCCGAGAGGUGCUCAAGGUGUUUGGGACGUGAUCACAAAGCUGCUGUGUCACGAUCCUAUCAGGUGCUUGAGGUGCCUCAAAACCAAACAUAGAGCGUGACAGUGCGAGGAGGGUGUCUACAGGAGUAGCUACAACAUGUUCAGAGGCCAACGUGCACUCAACGUGCGCAGAUUGAGUGGCGGCUACGAGGACGUUCGUCGCCGACACUGCAGAAUACUUCACUCGAAGGAACUCCGCCAGAAUGCUUUACUGGUGAUAUUGUGGACGAAGCGAACAUUGGACAUUCACCUCAACUUUCAAUAGCUAACGCCUUAGCGGAACAGUUCGACGGGGUAUUCGAUAGACUUUAUGGUGGCGAGAUAUAGGAAUCAUUCUUUCGCUGUCUUUCUCCUUCAAUGGGUCCCGGCUAAGAUGCUCAUGAAGCAACAUCAAGGAUUAAAGUGCGUAUCGGCACAACCCGUAUAUACCGUGCCAUAUCAUGCCAGCAAGAUAUCGACACGAUACAGCCCCCAUGCUGAUGGCACAACUCAAAACCCUCUAUUCUUAAAAUUAGUAAGAAUUUUCUCAAUAAAGUUCAAAAGAUUUGAUAAAAAUAUAUAAUAAAUAAUUGGCAUAUUUUGUUGCUAAAGAAAAUAAAUGUUUCAUGCCAUUACGUGUUGGCACACAUAUAUUUUUUGUGACCGACACGCAUCAGCACGGCCCGGCACGCGCCGUGCCGUACCAUGCCGGCAAGUUUCCAACACGACCUCAUGCCACAACACUUAAAUCCUUGGGCGACAUAUUAUCACUUUGGAGGGCUUCGGGUUAUGAUGCUGCCCGUGGAGACUAUACUGAAAUGCCGCUCCAUAUAGACCUGCGUUCAAGGCUUGGAUUAGACUCAUCAACCUUCCCUUUGAAUGCUGGAUGGUUGCACAUGUCUCGGCGAUCGUCAGCAAGUUCGGGAGGUUUAUAUGGGCUGACAAAUCGACGAGGCAAAUAACUGACUUGAGGGCAUUCCGACGUCGAAUAGCCAUCAGCAACCUCAAGGACAUCCUACAUAACUUAUCCAUGAUAAUUGGGGAUGAAGUAUUCUCCGUCUUAGUGCAAAUUGAUAAGCGGCGAAGGGAUGGAGAUAAUAGGAACAAUGCGAAUCCACCCCCCUGCACCACCGCCAUCAGGAGGAUCGGAUGGGGAGACGAUCAGAGUAAUGAUAUGCCGAACCGAGGGCACGGCUGUGACUGAAUCAAGGGGGUGAUAAAGAGAUAGGGUAGGUCAACCUGCCGGAAAAGCCAGGAGAAUGGAGCAAUUAGUUAACGGCCUCUGGCGGCAGGGAUCUUCGAGAGGUGCAUAGUUCACUUCUGAAGGCCAUGACAACCGAAAAUCCGUCAAGUCAAGCAUGGUGGUCUUAGUGCGGAACAUCUUUAGGUUGCUCCUGGAGGGUAUGGUGCCGACAAAGGAACCUCGGCUGUGAAAUUUAGGGAAGACUGAAAUCAGUCUGGCGGAGGCUUCUGGGAUCUAUAUACAUUAUGAAUCCUCAGUUAAAAAGAUGCAACGUGGCAUCUUAGGGGGAAAGGGGGAGAGGGGGUGUGGGGUACGGCCCAAUUUUUUUUCUUUUCCUUUUUUUUUUUUACUUUGUUGUUUUCAUCUUAUUUUUUCUUCCUCUCUCUCAACUUAUUUUGAUAGAAAAUAAUAAAAUCGGUCAUUUUUUUUAAUCCAACCAAAUUCUCCUCCUUUUUAUUAUAAAAAUUUAGAAAUAUAUAAUUUUUAUACAUAAUUUUUUAAAUAAUUUAGGUUGCAUGCAUUAAAUAUAAAUUUUGGUUUUAUAAUAUUGAUCAAAAGAAAGAUUGAUGGAGUUUUAAUUAAUUACUUAUUUUAAUAAAUUUAGUUGCAAGAGUUGUAUGAAGUAUAUUAACUAAAUUUGUAAAGUUAAAUGAUGCAUUCAAAUUUUAAAGUCAAAGUACUAUUGACUGACUCAAAUCUACAUAUUAGAAGGUUGGAUAGAGAAAACAAAAUUUUGAAGGAUGGAUAGCUAAUUCAAAAUGAUUCAUAGUUCAAGAAAGUUUAUUGUGUUUUUACUUUGAUUUUAAUAUCAAACUUCAAUGUUAUAAUUGUAGUCUGAUAAGCGAUCAAACUUCGCAUUUAAAUCUUCUAGAAUAUCCAAACCAUGAUUAGUUGACUUUAAAUUUUAACAAUUAGACAUGCUAAAAUUUAUUAGAUAGUUUAACAGAUUAUUUUGUCGAGUGAAAUUACUGAUUGAAUAAAACCGAUAAAUGCUGAACUCUGUCUUCGUCCGGAAAAAAAUAAAAUAUAAAAAAGAUAAAUUAUACUUUUGGUUCUCAAACUAUAAGACACGUGACACUUUAGUCCUCGAACUUUAAUGCGUUAUAAUUUCUAGGUCAAACUAUAAGACACGUUACACUUUAAUCCUUAAACUUUAAUAAGUUGCAAUUUCUAACUUGCACAAUGAGACACAUGACAUGUUUUUGCGAAAUUUCUAGCUUGCACAUGACAUGUAAGUCCUCAAUUUUUACUACUGCUAUAAAUAUAAUUUAUUAUUUUUAUUAUUUUUUUCUUACUCUUUUAUAUUAUUCUUAUAUUUUUAUUUUUAUGCUUUUACUGCAGCAGCUGCUGUUUCUUUUUUUUCUUUUUCUUUUUUUGACUCUUCUUUUUAUGAAUCCCCAGUUCAACAUGCAACGUGGCAUUAGGGCAAAGAAGCUGCAGGUGGGAGGGGUGGGGUAGGGUGGGGCCGGGCCUUUUUUUAUUUGUUAAUUUUAUUUUUCUCUCUCUCUUCCCACUGAUUUAGAUAGAACGUGAGAUUAGCAAUUUUUUAAAUCGCAUCUAAUUCUGCUUUCUCUCAUUAUAAAAAAUUAAAAUAUAUUUUCUUUUACAUAUAGCUUUUUAAACAGUUUAGAUUGCAUAUAUUAAAUAUAAAUUUUGAUUUUAUAAUAUUGACCAUUUAGAUAUAAAUUAUAAAAUAAAAAUGAGAGAGAUUGAUAAAUUUUAAGUUAAUUACUUAUUUUAAUAAAUUUAGUUGCGAGAAUUACAUGAAAUAUAUUAACUAAAUCUAUAAAGAUAAACGAUGCACUCAAAUUUUGAAGUUAAAAUACCAUUGACGGACUCAAAUCUAAUAUAUUGAAAGAUUGGAUAGUAAAAAUAAAUUUUUGAAAAAUUGGAUAGUUGAUUCAAAAUAGUCUAUAGGUCAGGAAAGUUCUAUAUAAUUGCUUUGAUUUUAAUAUCAUAUUUAUAGUCUAAUGAGUGAUCAAUUUCACAUUCAAAAUCUUUUGAGAUACCCAAAAUAUGAUUGGUUGACUUUGAAUUUGGCAUUCUUAAUUUUAUUAGAUAGUUUAAUAAAUUCUUUCCUCGAAUGAAAUUACUAAUUGAAACAAAAUCGAUCGAUCCCCGAUUCUGCCUUCAUCUGGAAUAAAAAUAAAACAUAAAAAAGAGUAAAUUAUGCUUUUGGUCCUCAACUAUAAGACAUGUGACACUUUAGUCUUCGAACUUUAAUAUGUUACAAUUUCUGAUUCAAACUAUGAGACACAUAACACUUUAGUCCUCAAAUUUUAAUUAGUUACAAUUUUUGGCUCGAACUAUGAAACAUAUGACAUUUUAGUACUUAACUUUCACUCCUGCUAUAAAUAUAAUUUAUUAUUAUUAUGGUUUUGUUUUUUAUUCUUUUUUAUCUUCCUUAUAUUUUUAUUCUUAUGCUUUUACUACAACAUUAGUUGCUUCUUCAGUUUCUUCUAUUUUUAUUCUUUUUAAUUCUUUAACUUUUCUUUUAUUUUUGUUGUGCUAUUUUUUUCAGCUUUAUAUAUUUAUUUAUUUCUGCAGAGUCGACCCACUGCACCGUGCGGGUGCCUUCACUAGUGUUUACAGGAAAGUGGAGAAGAACACAUUUCAAGCGCGCCGUCACCCUAACCCCCCUUGGCGCCGGUGGACGAUAGCACGCAAGUCCCUAGCUCAAGGAAAGGCAUUUUGAGGAUGCUUACAUGAAAAUGAUAGUUUUUUGAAUUGGGAUGAGGCUUAGAGAGGUUAGGUGCUACCUUUUCCAUGCUGCAUUUGGUCAUCCAACCGAAGAAUUGUGGGUGGGGAGUAUAGCAUGGUGAACGAGAAGGUUUUCAUUGAUAGACGUGUUGAUGGCAUUUUUUACUUGAGUAUUAAAGGUGUUGUUGGCAUUUAUGUAUUGAGUAACGUGUGGUGCAAGCUUGCAUUGAUGAUGGCUGUGGGAGUAGCGUGGAUAGGAGAAUAAGUGUGACAACUUGGACCAAGCCCGCAUUAAUUCUUGUUUGUUGUCCCAAGUGUGAAAGACACAACUUUGACCCUAAGAACAUUUUGGUCGAAGUUGGUGGUAUUACUUAGAGAAUAGGCGGGAACACCGAGUUCAGCUUGGAGACGCCUGCUAAGGAGAGUGUAAUUGACAAGUGUUUGCCAAAAUGUCAAUUACCUCGUUGGAAGGGAACGACAAAGGUGAACGAUAGGGUAGUCAAUGUGAGUCUGAUUUUGAGCCAACUUCUGAAAUGGACUUGGGAUUGCAGAUAGGAACGAAGGGACUAGCAUCUCCAGGACGUCACAGUGCUCAUUUAGCUAAUGGCACCUGUGUGUCAAUGACCCGUAAGGUCAUGGCAAGGAAAGCUCAGCUGAGAGAGAGAGGUAAGAUCUAUGAAGCACGGAUACUUCAAAUUUCAUGCCGUACCCGUAUCGGAUACGUAUCGGAUACCGAUACGCGCCCGAUACGUGUCCGAUACCGGAAUGAAGUAUCCGCCAUUUUUAAAAAUAAAAAAAUAUCGGAUACGGCUCAGAUACGUGAGGGAUACGGGAGGAUACGGGGGGGACACAGCCAGGUUCUUUUUUGGUCUAAAAUGAUCGAAACUUAAAAUUUUUUUAAAAGCUCGCGUCCAAACUUAUUGGAAAGAAGGAAAAGAGUGAGAAAAACGCCAAUCUCUGUUCAAUUUGUCAUUUCAUCUAUCUUUUUGCUCUUCAAUGGUAGAAGGCGCUCCCUCUCGUUCUAUCUUCACACAAUAUUUACUCUCUUUCAUCUAAUUUGUCAACCUAACAUUAAGCAACAAAGGCUAUAGAAAAUAUAAUUUUUUUUUCCUUCUCUAUUAAAUUGUUAGCAUUUUUUUUUAUUACUAUUUUAAUAAUAGAACUAACAAAACAGACAUAUAUAUUGAAUGGCUAAUUAUCUAGUUUGCGCGACUACAUAUCNGACGAUAAAUCUUAUUUGAUAUAUUUUUAACUUUUAAUUGUACAGCUGAGUGGUGGCUACAAUAUGGUGGAUCAGCAAAGCACUUAAAAAAGAUUGUUGUGCGUGUCUUAUCACAAACAACAACGUCUAGUGGAUGUGAACGCAACUGGAGCACGUUCGCACUUAUACAUACCAAAAUGCGUAACCGAUUAGCGUACGCUCGAUUAAAGAAGCUAGUUUAUGUCCACUAUAAUAUGAGGCUCCGUUUACGAUGCAUGCAAGAGGAGUAUGAUAAGGAAAAGGUAUUAAAAACUUAUGAUCCCUUGGAUGCAAGUUUUAUCAAUGAUGAAUCAGACCUCGUACUUGAUUGGCUACAAGAUAGAGACAAUCAAGAUGACCCAUUACUCGAUGAGCCUGGAGAUCCACCACGACCAUUCAGAAUAAUUGCUGAUGAAGCAGGAAUUAGUGAUGCUGAAAGAUGGGCUGACGAGAACAUAGGAAGCUCUCAAGGUAAUGUGCAAGAACAAGCGGCUUUGGACGAAGAAUCCCAAAAUCCUACACAUGACUCUGAUGCAGAAUUCGAACGUCUUAUGCAAGGACCUGGAUAUGGUCGUUCACGUCAAUCUGGAAAGGAGAAAACGUCUUAUACUGCAAAAAGGCCUUCAACGACAGUCCGAAGUGGUAAGAGUAAAAAAAGUAUAACAUCGAUGGAUCCAUUAGAUACAGCUGAUGCACUUCCAUAAGAUGAUGAUAGUGAUACAUCGACACCAGCAGAUUCUGGAUUACCACAGUCUAAAGAUGAAUGUAGUGAUGAUGAUGAUACCACUAAUAGCAGUGAGGAUGGUGGCGACUUUAUUCCACCAACACAAUAGGAGAGUGGAGGUGGUCGUGGCCUUCUAUUUACUGAAGAGCAAAACUUCACACAUGCCACUCAAAAUGCUCACCAUGGGUCUCGACCACGUCAAACAUCCGGAGUGGUAUAUAACCGUCGAAAAGAUAGGAGGUCCUCACAACAAGAUUAUGGGGAGAUGAGAGAAGGUUUGGAAGCAAUAUCAACUAGACCUCCACGAAGAGAUGAUACUUUGCAAACACAGUUUGAUAGUACUUCAAUAUCAUCGCAUCCCUCAUAUCGACAUGGCCUAUAUGAAGAGAUAUUUGAUUAUGAUUCAUCAAUCUAUGACACUCAGAGUGAAUCCCAAUCCAUCCCUGGACAUAGUGAAAGCUCAUACGGCGAAUCUACAUCCACUCAUGCAUAUCCACAUUAUGGUUCUUUUAUUCCAUACAAUCCAUAUUCUUAUGAUGCUUCAGUUUAUAUGCCACAGAUGACUGUUGUCCAUUAUAUCCACGAUCCAGUUGCAUAUGCAAGUUAUCUCCGACAAUACAAUGACGUAUAUCGGGAAUAUAUGACUUUCUCACAAUACCAGCAAUACUUAUAUCAACAUUGUCAUAUAAAUCUUGUAUCUGCAACUGACAGUAUGCCAUAUGAUCAAGCGCGACAAUCUAUGUGGAAUUAAGCAGUCAUCUCUAUGUAAAGAUGUAAAUUUAAAUAAUUAUUAUACUUGUGAAUUUUAUUAUUGUAUUUUAAUUUUUAUUCUACAUCAGGUAUAAUUGUAUUUUACUUACAAAAAGCUUACAUGCAUGUUAAUUGAUGAGUAUAAUAAGGUAUAUAUAGCAAAUAUAAAUAAUUAUUUAUUUAAAUCUUUCAAAAUAACAUUAUAAGAGUUUAUUGGAAUCAAAAAAAACUGAAAAAAAUCCGUGCCAAAACGUGCCAGUAGGAGGUCGUGCGUAUCUGUCGGCACGCAAGCGUGCCACGUGUCGGCACGCAAGCGUGCCCGUGCCGUACCGUGCCAGGGCCGUAACGGCACGCCCCCGUGCCACGGCACUUUAAACCUUUUUUAGGAAUUGCCAUAUCACCGUAUCCGUAUCGUGUCGUAUCCGUAUCCCCGUAUCCGUAUCUGUGCAACAUAGAGUAAGAUGCUACGAAAUUUUUUCGUAAGUACGGGAGAAAGAAGAUUAAGAAGAUGUGAAGGAUUCGUUUGGGGGACGCGGAGGCGAAGUCCCUUAGAGAGUUCUUGUGUGGCAGUGCAUAAGUGUAGGGUCCAUGCUCUGUCAUCGUGUCCUUGUCUAGGGUGUUUUUUCUUUCUUUAUGUUUCGUGUCAACAGUUGGAAUGUAAGGGGAUUGAAAGAUCCCUCUAAGCAAAGAGUUGUUAGGUGUGUGGUGUCUAGGCUUAGGAAUGCGGUUUUACAUUUACAAGAGACUAAAGUGGUGUCUCUCUCCUUCCUCUAUAGUGUCUGUGGGUCUUUCUUAGAUAUAUGUUAUUUACACUGGUGCAAGUGGUGCUUCAGGCAGGCUACUUGUUCGAGUUCACAACUUUUCUCUUGUAGUGAGGUGAUUAAGUAGCACACUGAAAUUCAGCAAAUUGUAAGGUUCCAGUGUAAGAAUAGCGUUUUGAGCUAUUCUGGAAGUUUUGAUGGUUAUCUGGAGUGUGCUGGCCUGUUUUCGAAGCUUAUUGAGCGCGAGAACAGACUUCGACAUCAAAAUUUGUGAAAUUUCAAUUUUUGGUGUUAAGUACCGAUACUGGAUUUGAAGUACCAGAACUCAAUAAAGAGCAGAUUUGGGCAACUCUCGGGUUUUGCGGAACUAGGUUGUGUGUACCGGUACUGAGCCGAGUACCGGUACUGCAUCGGGCGGGUACCGGAAUGCAAUAAAAAUCAAAAUUUUCAACAUUCGGAUUUUGCAGAACUGGACCCCUGGUACCAGAACUGCCGAGAACCGGUACUCCAAUUCGUGUACCGGUACUCAAUGCUGCAGAGGCUAUUUCGUGCAGCAUGUAAUUUCUGAGUUUUGAGGAGCCUUAGUAUAUAUUGUUACAUCAUGUAAUAUACCCCCUUCACCCCCUCUCACUUGUUCUCUUAUGCUGAGCUUAGAGAGAGUAGGUGAGUUCUUGCACUCUCUCUCUUGGAUUUCUCCUCCCCAACGCUCAAUUUUUGGGUUUGAUCUCUUUUUUUUCAACUUCUUCAUAAAAGCUUGCCACUAGGCCUUGGAGGGGGAGCUCGGGAUUGAAAGGAGCUUGAUUGAGGAUUAAACUUCAACCCUAGCUUCUUAAAGCUUGGUUUGGAGCUCAAAUUAAGGUUAGUAGCCCUCUUGCAUGCUCUAUUUGUGAAUUUUGCAAGAAUUUUGGUAGAAAACCUAAUUUGGAAAAAACUAGGAUUUAUUUUGGGGUUUCUUUACUUUGAGCUUUUGGGGUUAAAUUGAUGCGUGUAGAACACUUUUCUAGGUUGGAUUUGAAGCCUCAUUGCUUUGAUUUGAACCUUGGACAAGUUUUGCUUGAUCAAAGAUAAUUUUCACCUAUUUUCUAUUUGAUUUUUUGGUGAAUUUCAUGGUAAGCUUUUUAGAAGCUUGUAACCCCAUGAAAAUUCUUUUUAGGGUGCUAGAAGUCUAGAGGACAACUUCAUUUAGGAAUCGAUCAAGUUUUCGAAAGGUAUUCGGUGGGUUUGACCUCACCGAAAUGGGUGAACUCCCCCUAUGUCUCCUACCUUGUUAUAGGAUUUAAUAGAUGCAUUUUUAUGCUAUUCAUGACAUCAUAGAAAUUUUGGACACUUGACAUAUUCAUAUUAUAUAUGAAACCUUGCAUUCUCUGUGUAGUAGAAGGCCAUAAAGAUAACAUGCAUAUUAUGAUACAUGUAAUUGUAUUGUGAUAUCAAGCUUCUCUUAUGCCAAAAUAGGUAUGCAGGUUAGAGAUUAGUAGUACCAUGUGAGGCAUUAUAUGACUAGUGGAACUAUUGGCCUUGAACUUGAAUGGCAAUAAUUUAUAUUUGCUAUAGUUAAAGAAAAUUAUGACACCUUGCAUGCUAAUGACAUGUUGUAGAGCUAAGUAUCUUGUACAUAACUUAGAUGAACGAUUAAAGUUGACAUCAUGACAUUGUACUCGACCUCUAGGUCGUUUGUUAAUGUUCCAUGUUUUAGACAUGACGAAUGAGAUUCCUAUACAUUUGAUCACGCUUGUUUGCCUUUGUACUCAUUCCCACAAGCUUGUGAGAGUCGCUCCCUACAAGCCGGCACUUCGGAGUUAGCCUUUGUGACAUUAUGCUCGUCUGUGCGGGAUUGGGCGCCGAAAUGGAUUGCCGUGAGAGAGGCUCAUCCCUAGAGUGGGGAUGUUGACUACCACGGGGCCAUUAGGCACGGCNUGGGCGCCGAAAUGGAUUGCCGUGAGAGAGGCUCAUUCCUAGAGGGAGAAUGUUAAUUACCACGAGCCAUUAGGCACAACACAAGUCGGGACAAGACCUUGUGUAAGUCCUCGAUGAUUGAGUAAAUGUAAUUAAACUUAACAUUGUACAUCACUUCUAGCUGAUGCAUUCAUAGUGCUUGGACAUGUUAGACAUUACACACUCAUAUAUACAUUGAUAGUGGUAGAACCUUAUACAUGUUGUUGGGCAUAGUUAUCUAGAGGCAUAGUAGUACCAAAAUCUUUAAUUCUUUACUCUAUACAUGCUUUACCUUUAGCUAUUUCUAUUUUUGCCUCAGUUAGCCUAGUGGUGUAAUUCGCUUUUCUCGGUGGCUUACCUACUAGGACUAUUGUUUUGUCUCAGACCCUUCCACCGCGGGAGAGGCUAAGAAUCACGGCAAGGGGUUAGCGACUAGCUAGAACCUCUUUGGAGUCGCCUAGGUGGACCCGAGACGCCUUUCUUUUGUUUUUGGUUAUGAAAAGUGUAUUAGAUCAUUUUGUAUAGAGACCACCUUAUGUUCAUGAGAUGUACUUUUGUUGGUAACCUAUUGUAUAUCUCGUAAUAGAUUUAUCUGUGUUGUAGUAAAUUGUUGACUUAUGGUAUAGUUUAUUACACAUGCUCUGAUUAUCUUGUUAUGAUUGUUUUAUCUACUCUCUUUAUUGCUUGUUUUUUUCUGGUAGACGCUUUGUGUGCACCGGGGGUGCCUUGUGCACACGACAGGUCUGUGCACAUGCCAGGUAGGCUUCCGCUAGGAUCCAUGAGCGAUAGAUUAUGAAAAAUUGCUACCUUACACUCCGCCUUACUCACAUUCGAAGCGGAGAGAUUAUCUAUGUCAAUAAUUGUGUAUGGCCCGGCAACUUGGGAAGGUAAGGAUAAGUUCUGCACGAAACUUAUGCUUCUUGAGGAAUAUUUGUAAGGGUUGCUGGAUUGUCUGUGGAGAUUAACUUUACCAGAAGUCAAGACGAACGCAGAGGUAUAUUGUGGAGCACAAUAGGGCGACACGUAUGUUCAAUGAUCUUAUUCAAGAACUUGUGCUCUUGGACUUACCUAUGACAAAUCAAUCAUUCACUUGGUCAAGUAUGCAGCAUAACCCAACUCUUGCAAAAUUAGACAGAUUUUUAAUCUCAACUAAGUGGGAUUCGAAAUCCCCAGUUUCAGAAGUAGAGGCUAUUCCCAAAAUUACGCCAGACCACUAUUCGAUUCUACUCCAUAUUGGAGGUAAGUUGGGGUACACUAAAUUUAGACGAGAAGAUAUUUGGCUAAAAAUUGAGGCUUUUCCCGGCUUGGGGGAGGGAAACGAAGUCUCGCGGGAAUGCAGUUAUAUAUUUCACGGUUAAGCUGCGCGCACUGUAGUAAACAGAUACACGAAUGGUUCACACAUAGUUUUUACAAUAUUUUGAAAACAAAGUUAGAAUUAAUGCAAAAGGUUCAAUAUAUUGAUAGAGUGGUGGAACAUUAAGUCUUGACACAGAAGUUACUUGAUAGAAGGGAGAACCUCAAAGAUAGGCUUUCAGGUGACUUAAGGACGAAGAGACAUUGUAGAAAACUCAGGCCAAGCAUCGAUGGCUCCAGGAAGGAGAUGAUAACACAAAGUUCUUCCACGCAUGACCAAUAAUAGAAGGCAUUCUAACGAGAUUGGGGUGGUAGAGGACAACGAGAGAAAAGUGUGUAAUGAAGAAGAGAAGUAGUAUUCUAGAGGUUCUUCAACGAGCUGUUUGUACUUGAGAACUACGAAGUGGCUGUCAAUGGAGGUUGGACCGAACUUUUCUGAACCAGACGAGUUAACAACCUUGAACAACUAACUACCCCUUUUAACAUGAAAGAGAUUAAGAAUGCCAUAUUUCCAUUAGAAGGUGACAAAGCGCCUGGGCUAGAUGGUUUCCUAAGAUUUUAUUAGACCUUUCGAAACAUCAUCAAGGAGGACAUGUUUAAUAUUUUCCUUGAGCUAUACGAAGGACGAAUCUCUACACGUCCUAUUGAUUUUUUCUAUAUAUGUCUGAUCCACAAAAAUGAAGGUGCGGUGCGAGCUGAUGACUUCCGACCCAUUAGUCUUUUGAAUGGAAUAUAGAAAAUUUCCAAAGUACUGGCCAAUAGACAGGAAGGUGUCAUGCAACAACUUAUUUUCACUUCUCAAUCUGCUUUCCUUAAAUGGGGACUGCAGCCCGACACCUUUGUCACGGCGAGUGAAUUAGUUGCGGGGAGUUGUAAAGAAAAAGUAGGUGUUGGGGUUAACAUCGAUUUCGAAAAGGCCUAUGAUAUGGUCAAUUGGGCAUUCCUUUUAAGAUUAUAAAAUUGUGGGGUUUCAAUGCCAAAUAGUGUCGCUAGGUGGAAUGUAUUUACAAUGCCAAGGUGGCUGUGAUGGUUAAUGGGGUAGCCACUAGCUGGACCAAGACUAAAAAGUGAGUGAGGCAAGGUGACCCCCUUUCGCCUUAUCUUUUCCUAAUGGUUGCUGAGCGUCUAGCCAGGAUAACGAAAGCGACAAAUAUACAUAAUAUCUAGUCAGAGGUAUUGGACCCUCUUGAGAUAUUUGACUGAUACUCAUCCAAUAUGCGGAUGACACUCUUCUUUUGUAAGGUAAAGAAGAAAUUUUUGAAGAAUAUUCGAAUCAUCUGGGGUCUUUUUGAGUAAGCUUCAAAUGUGAAGAUGACUAAAGAGAAAACAAAAUUAUUUUAUAUUGGGGGUAGGCUCCGGAAAGAUACUAGUCUUGCCUAACAUUUGAAAUGCAAGGUGGAAAAUUUUCCAACCAAAUAUUUUGGGUUACCGCUAUCUUCCAAAAUUCAACACAAAGAGGAUUGUAUAGAGAUCAUUGAUAAUAUUCAAAGAAAGAUUAAUGGCUGGCAAGCUAAAUUACUGUCAAAAGGAGGUGGUUGCAGAAUUAGAGAAUUCAAGGACUUCCUUUCAAGUUUUCAUGUCUUAGACAGGCCUGAUGACAUCCGAUGGAGAUGGAAUGCAAGAAGGUGUUUCACUGUUUAGUCGAUGAUCCGAGAUGGUGGUGUUCAGGCCUUUCUUUUGCUGAAAGUUUGGGAGUUGAAAAUACCGUCUAAAGUUAGAAUUUUUAUUUGGUUAGCCCUUAAGAAACGCCUAUCCACGGUUGAUAACCAACACAAAAGAGGAUGGUCCGAGAACUGACAGUGCGUUAUGUGUGGUGACGAAGUCUAGGCUGUUGAUCAUCUGCUUGUAGGACGCGUAAUCAGCAGAUUUUUUAUAUUCAACAUCUUAGAAUAUAGGCACAUCCCGGGGUCUGUGAUGGAGGUCAGGGGUGUCUGGGAGCUUUUGUUAGGGAACCGCCUCGAAGGGGCAACAAUGAAGGAUCUAACCAGGGUCGCAGCCUAUUGGCGGAUGAACUGGAGGGAAAGAAAUAACAUAAUUUUUAGAAACCAAUCUUAUGACCCCUAAUGUCUGUUAGACAAAUUCAGGAUGUGGAUAGGGAAUGGGUUGAGUUUUGCAGCUCUUUAGUGACUUGGUUUGAGGGAUAUAAUUUAUCUUCUUUGGUCUUUUGGUUUUUUGGUUUUGUUUUUGCUUUUUUUCUGUCUUCUUUUGUUAUGGUUCCUUAUAUAUUUUCCAAGGCCGCGUUGCCUCAACUCCUGUAGCUAAAUUCAUAUGCUAAAUGAAAUGAAGCGGGCACCAUGCAACCUCUCUCCAAAAAGAAAAAAAAAAAAAAUGGAUCCAUACCUGAUGGCCCUUCCUUGCCUUUGAGCAAAGAAUAUUGUUCAAAAUCUCGGCCAGGACGAUGUACAUCAAAUACUCUUAUUGCUUUAUUGUAUCCGGCAAAAAGCCUACGAAAAGAUAUAAGGCAUUAGCCAAUGACUAGCAAAAACAUACUAUCAUAGCUAAACAUGAGACACCAGCAACAAUCAAAAAGCUUGGUUGCUUGAAAGCAAUAAUCAAUGGAAUGGUUGCUUUAUGUCCACUCGUCCACAUAGCCACUCAUCAAUAAACAUGGGGGGCAUGUACGUAAGCAAAAGCUACAUAAUAAAUACAACACCGUAAAUGUUAUAUCAGCGAAGACUAACUGUUAGUAUGUUAAGGUUCAACAAAUAUUAGAUAGUUAACUCCAUAAUUUCUAACACCACAAUGCAAAAACACAUAUAAUCUAUCUAAAGAUGACUCCCUUUGUUUUUUCUAGCGAGAUCAUGGUAGGGUAUAUUUUAGAUUUUCCACAAGCACGAAGAGGAACUAUUCUGAUGCGAUAUGACAGUUUAUAUCACCCGAUAGCUUUGAUUCUCUUUCUCUACGACUAAUUUGAAGCUUCUAAAUGCAUAUGCAAUAAACUGAAUUCUCUCUCUGUGUGCGUAUGAUUGUUAUAAAGCUUCUCAACGCAUAUGCAAAAAAUUAGAAUUCUCUCUCUGACUUAUGAAGCUUAACAUAUAUGCAAAAAAUUGGAACUGAUGAAACAUUAGCAAAUAAAAUCUUUGAUAUAUCUUCAGAAUAGUAGGUUUACAUGGAGAGAUAAAGAAAAAAAAGAGGAGGAAAGUAGAUAAACAAGGGAAUUAUAUAUACUUUGUUCCGGAGGGGUUGAAAGAUAGUGAGAGUGCUGCUGUUAUCUCAUCCAUAGCAUCAUACGCCCUAUAUGUGCAACGAAGCUGCAAUUAUUAUCACAAAUAGCAACAGCAGAGACAAAACAAAGAUCAUUAUUCUGCCAAAAGCAUGUAUAGAAUAUAUUGUAAAGGAAAAUGUCCUGAAGAAAUAUUUGUAAAUAUACCUCACCAGUAAUAGCAUCCCAAAGAUGAAUAGGAUGGUCACGCGUAGUGCUUGCAAACACGCAAGUGGCUGGAUCUGUCAGAAUAGUUCUUGCAUCAUCAUUUGCUAUUAGAAAAUUGUGGCUGCGUUAAAUAUAUAAAUACAACGGAUUAAGCACCUGAUACAGACAUGUACGGAUACCAACAAUAAUCGUACACGGACUCAGCCUCUUUCACGAUAAGACUGGCAACAUAAGAAUCUGCAAGAGUUCUAUCCAUCAUAUUAUCAGUACAUAUAUUUUACUUCUCACCUCACCUGUUAUAUAAAAGGAAAAGGCAUGUGAGAGCGACACACACCUUCCUCGUCUACAGCCGCAUUGUGCUCUGCACUACAAGCAUCUUCCGGACUGCAUUUUGUAGAGCAAAAGAGAGUUAUGAGUACAAAAAACCGGAUUGAAACAAAGGAACGAAGAAACCUGGAGGGAGAAAGAAAAAGGGCAUUGGUAAAGUAAUGUACCCUAGAAAGUAAAGUAUAUUGGUAAAGUAAAGAAAAAGUAUAUUGGUAAAGCAUGCAGUGAUAUUGCAGAUUUAUACAUCUCCCUCUGAAUUGACAAAUUCUCAAAAUUUCUCUCUCUCCAUUCGUUCUAACCUUGAGAAAAGAUAAAUAUUGGUAAGAAGCCUUCGAAUAUUUUUUCCACCAUCUUAUAUAUCUAUUAUCCCUAUGCCAUCUAACGUCUUUGAUGCCUAUUAUAAGAAGAAAAAAAAUCCUAAAAAAUAUACAUUUCUCAAGAACGUUACGGUUCAAACAGUGAAGAUUAACAUUCAGUCGAGUGAACGAAAGAGAAAGAGAAAGAGAAAGAGAAAGAGGGGAUAGAGAUAUACAGGUAGAACAAACGAAGCGUGUUGUCGUCGGAACUGGUGAGGAAGGAGGAGCCGUCGGGAGACCACUUUACCCCUUUGAGGAAGUUGUUGUUGUUGCUGCUGCUGUUGGGGUUGGGUUUGGGGUUGGGGUUGGGGUUGGGGUUGGGGGCGCCCGACAUGAACUGGCGGCAGAAAUGGUAGACCCUGGAAGGUGGGACGUCGAAUCCGAGCGCCGGCCACGCGGCCGCCGAGCCGGCAGCGACCUCCUCCUUCGCGCCCGGACAGUCUGAUGAUUCAAACGCCUCAUCUUCUGCUACUUCUCCUCCUUCCGGCUCCGUUUGCGGCUCUUCUGCUGCUCCCAUCACAACACUUCUUCGCUCUGCAAAAGAAGAAGAAGAAGAAGGGGGGCUCGGUUGAUGAUUUUUGGUUAAAUUACAGAAAACCCCAUAAAUAAUAACCCGCUUUUUCACUUUCAACUUCUCACAUUUAAAAAUCUACACUUUACCCCCCUUGUAAAAUAAAAAAUAUUCACAGGGGGUUACGGUGUGUAAAAUGACUAUUUUGCCCCUCGUCAUUUUCAUCUUCUUCCUCAUCUUUCUCAGUCGCCCCUUCGAUCGGCUGCGAUUCCUACCUCAAUCGGCCGCAAUUUCUCUCCAUUUCCUUCUCCACCUACUCCCCUUCUCCUCCUGCAACAUACUCCCCUUCUCCUCCUGCACCCUCGCCACCCCUCGAUUUCGACGAUAGUAGGGAGAAAAUCGAGGUGGGUGUUGAUGGAGAGGUAGGCAAGGGCAACGAGGGCAAAGGCGAGGCGGCGGAGGAGGGCGAAGGGGAUGUGGGCAAGGGCGAGGCAGUGGAGGAUGGCGAGGCGGCGGCGAGGCGGCGAGCCGGAGGGAGGCAAAGCAACAAGGAAGAGGGCGGAGGGGUAUUUUCGGCAUAAAAAAUAUUUUAUAACGGAAUCCUAACGGUAGGAGGUGAAGUACACAUUUUUUAUUUUACAAGGGGGCAAAGUGUAGGUUUUUAAAUGUCAGGGGGGGAAGUGAAAAAGCGGGUUAUUACAUGAGGGUUUUCUAUAAUUUAGCAUUUUUUAUAAAUAAUCUCAUUGAAAAUUUUAUUUAUAAAAAUAGGCCUCCUAAAAUAUUUAUUGCAAAAGUAGUCCUCAAAUAGGCUAGGUCAGCUUGGGGGUAGAGGGAUUAAAUACGGUGAAUAGUUUACCGCAUUCAUGUAUGCGGUGAACCAUUCACCGCAUUUGUGGGCCUACGGCACAGAUUGAAAAAUAGAGAAUGCGGUAAACGGUUUACCACAUUCUUAAAGACGAUUAACUGUUUACCGCAUUUAAAUGUGGUGAACCAGUCACCGCUUUUAAAGGCGGUAAAUCGUUUACCGCUUUCAUAUGCAGUGAACGGUUCACCGCCUUUAUAUGCGGUAAACCCUAAACCCGCCCGAACCCUUUUCCUUUCUCUCUCACUUACCUGCGCGAGCUCCUCUGUCUCGCGAGCUCCUCCUCUCUGUCUCCCGCACGCUCCCUCACUCCUCUCUAUCUCCCUCACUCCGACCUGAGUCCGACGUCACCGACGCUGCCGCCGUAGUCGGCGCCGACCUGUACUGCUUCUGCCGUGCCCUCUCUCCUCAGCAUUGCAUCCAUAUUGUUCCAUUAGGUUAGUGGUGAGAUGUUUGAAAAAAUUGUAAUUAUUUUUUAAAUAGAGUUGAUUGUUUGUAAAUUAUUGUGUUUUCUCACUGUAUUUUGUCUAUAUUUUGUGGUAUAUACAUUUUAGAUCACAUUUUAAACCCUAUUAGGUUAGUGGUGGAGCCCAUAUUUUGUUGAUGUUAUAUUAGAUAGUUUGUUGUGUUCAUGGGCAUUUUUGUGUAACUUUAUGUUGUUUCAAGUCUAUUAUCGGUUGGUUUUAGAUACUGUUAUGAUCAUGUUAAAUUAUCACAUAUUAGGAAUGUAAAUAAAGGUGGAUAGUUGUUGUCGUAUAUAAGGCAAAAUCACUCUAUAGUGUUGGUAUGAAUCAUAAAAAUUCAGCCUUUUCUAACUACAUAAUUAACACCAACAGAGAUGUGAGAUGUAAUAAUGUCAUAGUUGGUUUNCGGCUCUUCUGCUGCUCCCAUCACAACACUUCUUCGCUCUGCGAAAGAAGAAGAAGAAGAAGAAGAAGAAGAAGAAGAAGAAGGGGGGCUCUGUAGGUAAUAAUCCGCUUUUUUAUUUUUUCCCGAUAUUUAAAAAUCUACACUUUGCCCCCUUGUAAAAUAAAAAAUAUUCACAGAGGGGAUACGAUAUGUAAAAUAACCAUUUUGCCCCUCGCCAUUUUCGUCUUCUUUCUCAUCUUCCUCAGUCGCCCCUUCGAUCGGCCGCGAUUUCUCUCCAUUUCCUUCUCCAUCUACUCCCCUUCUCUUCCUGCACCUCGCCACCCCUCGAUUUUGACGAUAGUAGGGAGGAAAUCGAGGUGGGUGUUGAUGGAGAGGUAGGCAAGGGCAACAAGGGCGAGGCAGGGCGGCGGAGGAGGGCGAAGGGGAUGUGGGCGAGGGCGAGGCAGUGGAGGACGGCGAGGCGGCGAGGCGGCGGCGAGGCGGCGAGCCGGAGGGAGGCGAAGCAACAAGGAAGAGGGCGGGGGGGUAUUUUUGGCAUAAAAAAAUAUUUUAUAACGGAACCCUAACGAUAGGGGGUGAAGUGCAUAUUUUUUAUUUUACAAGGGGGCAAAGUGUAGAUUUUUAAAUGUCAUGGGGGAAAGUGAAAAAGCAAGUUAUUACAGGAGGGUUUUCUGUAAUUUAGCCUUUUUUUUAUAAAUAAUCUUAUUGAAAAUUUUAUUUAUAAAAAUAGGCCUCCUAAAAUAUCUAUUGCAAAAAUAGUCCUCAAAUAGGCCAGGUCAGCUUGGGGGUAGAGGGAUUAAAUGCGGUGAAUGGUUUACCGCAUUCAUGUAUGCGGUGAACCAUUCACCGCAUUUGUGGGCCUACGACACAGGGAUUGAAAAAUAGAGCAUGCGGUAAACGGUUUACCGCAUUCUUAAAGACAGUUAACUGUUUACCGCAUUUAAAUGCGGUGAACCAUUCACCGCUUUUAAAGGCGGUAAAUCGUUUACCGCUUUCAUAUGCGGUGAACGGUUCACCGCCUUUAAAUGCGGUAAACCCUAAACCCACCCAAACCCUUUUCCUUUCUCUCUCACUCACCCGUGCGAGCUCCUCUGUCUCCCGAGCUCCUCCUCUCUGUCUCCCGCACGCUCCCUCACUCCUCUCUAUCUCCCUCACUCAGACCUUAAGUUCGACGUUGCCGACGCUGCCGCCGUCGUCGGCGCCGACCUGUAUUGCUUCUGCCGUGCCCUCUCUCCUCAGCAUUGCAUCCAUUUUGUUCCAUUAGGUUAGUGGUGAGAUGUUUGAAAAAAUUGUAAUUAUUUUUGAAAUAGAGUUGAUUGUUUGUAAAUUAUUGUGUUCUCUCACUGUAUUUUGUCUAUAUUUUGUGGUAUGUACAUUUUAGAUCANAUGAACACAACAAACUAUUUAAUAUAACAUCAACAAAUUAUUGUGUUCUCUCACUGUAUUUUGUCUAUAUUUUGUGGUAUGUACAUUUUAGAUCACAUUUUAAACCCUAUUAGGUUAGUGAUGGAGCCCAUAUUUUGUUGAUGUUAUAUUAAAUAGUUUGUUGUGUUCAUGGGCAUUUUUGUGUAACUUUAUGUUGUUUCAAGUCUAUUAUCGGUUGGUUUUAACUACUCUUAUGAUCAUGUUAAAUUAUCACAUAUUAGGAAUGUAAAUAGAGGUGGAUAGUUGUUGUCGUAUAUAAGGCAAAAUCACUCUAUAGUGUUGGUAUGAAUCAUAAAAAUUCAGCCUUUUCUAACUGCACAAUUAACACCAACAGAGAUGUGAGAUGUAAUAAUGUCGUAGUUGGUUUCUUUUUUGAAGGAUAGUAUUUUUGGGUCAUUUAAAUUGCAUUCAUACUAUGGCCUCUAUAAAACUUAGGUAUCAAAAUCUCAUACUUGUAAUAGAGGAAAUGUUACUUUGAGGGGGUGUUUGAUCGCUUGUUUCGAAGUUUUGAAUUUGGAUUAUAGAAUGGGGUAGUGAGAUUUUCCGGUGUUGUGAACACAUGUCAUUUGCAGUAUCAAUUCAGCACUUUAAUUUGGUAUGAUUAUGUUUUUUACAAAUUUUAUAUUUUAUUUAAGUUAUGAUGGCGCGUAGUAAUGUGGCUAUUGUUAUUCAUUGGAAUGGAGAAAUAUUGGCGCACGAUAACAAUCCAAAGUACGUUAGCGGUCGUAAGAAAUUAAGUGGUAUUCCAGUGGAUAUUACAUUUAUAGAAUUCGAGAGGAAAAUAUAUAGAUUAACCGAUACUCCGAGAGAUGAGUGUCGUUUAAUUAUCAAAGUUCGAUAUUCGACCGGGAUGAAUCAAUUCGAUGUGGUUGAAGUUACGGACGAUGACUCACUGUGUGGUGCGAUGGCAUUGUCGGGCAUAGGAUGUGCUGCAACUGCAAGAGAAUAUUAUGAGCAGAAUGAUCAGUUGAAAAAAAUGGAUCCGGCGGAAUGGCUUUGGGUGCACGAGCUCCAAGGGGAAAGAGAAUAUUAGGCGAGAGCAUUUGAUAGAGGACGGCGUUUUCGGACAAUGACGACAAAUCGGUCGGAGAGUUUAAAUAGAGUGCUUAAAGGUGUACGUGGUUUACCUAUCACAGCAUUUGUGGCCGUUACAUUUUAUAAGGUGAACAAUUAUUUUGUUAAGCGCCGUGAUAAAGGUGAGACAUACUCUACAGUGUUGGCACCAAAACAGGAGGCGUUAAUUAAGAGUUGUAUGAUAAUCGCAAGAGGACACCGUGUGGAUCGCUUCAGAGUAAACGAGUUUCAAAUUACUACGGAAAACUUACAAUUUGAGGUGGUUCUUGACGAGAGAAGCUCGACUUGUUCAUGCCAUGAGUUUGAGCUCACUAGGUUGCCAUGCUCACAUCUUCUAGCUGUAUGCAGUAAUGGUCAAAUGAACAUUGACUACUACAGUCUGUGUUCUAAAUGGUAUACAUGUGAGUAUUACCGUGGUGCUUACUUCCAGCAAUUUCACCCUGUCCCAGACAAAAGAAGUUGGCCACGCCCUCAAGGACCACCGCUGGCACCCCUACCUAUCAGGAGAAAAAAAGGCCGUCCAAGAUCAACUUGUAUUCGAAACGCCAUGGACGAGAGAGAAGGAAUGCGAAGAACUAUGUGCACUAUUUGUAAACAACAUGAACAUUAUAGGACUACAUGUCCAAAUAAUCAAGAUAGAACAAAUGAAGGCCGCAGACGUAGAGCUUUAGGUUGAUGACUUAUGUUUGACUAUCUAUAGUAUUUUUAUUUCUAGAUUCAUCUUUUAAUGUUCAAUUAAUAGUCACUAAUUUGUAUACUUUAUUUUGCAGAUGGACAAUCACGAGGAUCCCGGACCAGUUGAUCCAUCAGUUCUAUCAGACCAGGAUAGGCAUCGGUCGAGCUACGUGCGAUCAGGUAUGUUAAGUUAUGCAUGUACAAAAAAGUUUGUAAUUUAAAUACUUAAAAGGGAAAUUUUUUUAAAAAGUGAAUUGGUUUUUACAGAGGUCCGCGCCAGUUCAGUUUACGGAGCAUGACCGUAAACUGAACACGUGGACAGUCGAGCAUCUGGGAGUGAUAGAGCACUUACGACAUGUUGGCUUUUUCUAUGGCUCCCACCUCAGACGAGUACAGCUUGAUCAGGCUUUGUUAGGGGUGUUGAUAGAGCGAUGGAGGUGCGACACGUAGACAUUCCACCUAUGUCACGGAGAGAUGACAGUUACGCUACGUGACGUGGCCAUUUUAGCUGGACUACGAGUCUCCGGGAGCCUGUUACGGGACGUAUUUCAUUUGGUUUGUUGCAUACAUGUGAGCUCCUUCUUGGUAUACAACCAGAUGAUGUCGUUGCCAGCCAGAUCUGCUUGGAGUGGUUGUUUCAGCAUUUCCGGCAUAUUCCUUUGGAUGCUCCGGUGGCCGUGGUUGCAGCAUCUGCUCGAGCAUACAUUUUAUUUCAAAUUGGAUGCAGUUUGUUUCCUAAUCCCACUGGAUAUCGCAUUCACCUACUUGAGGAUUUUGACUUCUGCGAAGGCGUAGCUUGGGGCGCAGCUACCUUGGCCCAUCUCUACAGAUCAUUAGGGAAUGCCUCUAUGAAGGGAAGGGCCGAGUGUUGUGCCUUUGGUACACUACUUCAGGUCAAAUCACUAUAACUAGUUUCUUUUACUAAUUUUAUAGUUAACUUUUUUUGUUCUUAGAUAUGGGCAUGGGACCAUAUGCAUAUUGGACGUCCCUAUUGAGUUGGAACUCCACCGGAUCUCCAUGAUUGUCCAUUGGGUUGUCGGUAUGCUAUGUGUUUAAAAUAUAAUAUAAUAAAAUAAUAAAUAUUGAUAUUGUAUUGAUAUAUUAUAAAAUAAUAAAAUAUACUAUUAAUCACUUCUGCAGGUGGAACAUGGGAUUACAAUUUCGUGGAAAUGUCAGGGCGACUGACAUUAAGUUUUAUCGCGAUGAGCUAGAUCAGCAGAGAGAGUAACAAGUAGUAUGGAUUUCAUAAAUUAAACACAUGCACAUACAUUCUAAAAUUUUACAUUCAUUUUUUUUUAGGGAAAACUUCAAAAACCCCCUCUGUGGUUUCGUAGUUUCUCACUUUGCCCCCCUGUGGUUUAAAAUGCAUCAAUUUGCCCUCCUGUGGUUUCUUUUUUCUCUUUUUCUUAUCAAUUUCAUUAUUUUUUUUUCUUAAAUCAGUGAUAAAGUUAAAAUUAAAGGGUACUAAAGUGAAUAUUUGAUAAAUCUAUAUGGGUAUCUAAAGAUUUUUGUAUAUAAUUUAAUGAAAUAUUAACGAAAAAACUACCGAAAAGAUAAAAACGAAACCACAUGGGGGCAAUUUGAUACGAGCUACCUCGUGUACAUGUAGUGGUAUUUGGGGAUCACACAGAGGUGGAUUUCUCGUCCUGUACAGCGCCCUCCACUUACUUUUCUUCCGUGUGGGAAUGUCGAGCGACGAUUGGUAAGAUUAUUUUAUUUUAUAGUUUAUUUUAAUAUAAGGAUAUUCAUUAUAUAUAAUCAUGUAUAUUUAUAUAGGUGUAUGCUAUGCGGCAUGCUGUUAGCAGUAUCGGUCAUUUGAUGGAUGAUCCUCCGGAGCCUACUAGAAUGAUGGAUGCUCUAGCACAUAUGAGGUGGGAUCUCGAGACUGUGUUAGAGAGCCUUUCGACAUUACCCGUGACAGGGCAUUCGGAUGUUUCUUCUUCGACUUUUGGUGUUUACGGUGAUAUUCCCUCCACCUCCACGCCUGCAUAUGAUUUCAGUGAUAUUCCCUCCACCUCCGCGCCUGCAUAUGAUUUCGGUGAUAUUCUCUCCACCUCGAUGCCUGCGUAUGACUUUGCAUCGACAUCUGUCUCAAUCCAUCCAUCUGAUGUCCCUUCGACUUCUGAUGUCCCUUCGACAUCGGAAGUGCAGUUUGAUAUUCCGUCGGCAUCGAUCCCUCCAUUUGAUAUUCCAUCUACGUCAGAGGUCUAAUAUUCCAUUCACGUCUAUCCAUCUUUCUGACGUUCCAUCCAUGUCGCAGGUUCGUCGCGAUGAUGUUGUAUAUCGACGUAGGCGACGACGACAGGGUCAUAUUGAGACGCAGGAAGGGAUACUACCAUCAGCUGUUGAGCAAGGGAUGGAGCUGAUUGUCGAGGGCAUCGCUAUCGAGCAUAUUGAUCAGAUGCAUAUCAUUGAGCCCGUGCAGCCUGAGAUGGAGCAUGACAUGCAUAUUCGAGGACGGAGUCGAGGACGCGGUCGUGGACGCGGACGUGGACGUGGCAGGGGAUGAGGGCGAGAGCAUAGGAGGGGGAUGGAUGGGACUUGAUUUUUUUUUAUCAUUUUUGGGAUUCUUAUGUAUAUUUGAUAUUUCAUAUCUUUGUACAUUGAUUUUGUAUAGUAUUAUCUAAAUUUAUUCAUAUUGAAAUGUGUUGAUAUUGGUAUAGCUCAUUUUAUAUGCUUAAAGUAAAGUUGAAGUUGCUAUGGAUGAUUUUAUGUAUUUAUUGAUGUAAUUGAAAUGUUUGAAAACAUUGCUAUUUUGUAUAAUGUGGGAAUUUUGCAAAGUUGCUGCCGCAUGGGUGUGGAUUUGAUUAAAUGCGGUGAACCAUUUACCGUAUAUAAAAGCGGUGAAUGGUUCACCGCUUUUAAAUAUGGUGAACUAUUCACCGCAUUUAUGAGUUUUCUCAACACACCCAACCGGGGGGUAACAACAUGAAGGCGGUAAAUGGUUCACUGCCUUCAUAGGAUUUUUAAAUCCUUUUGAAAGCGGUGAACCAUUUACCGCUUUCACUUGAAAGCGAUAAAUGGUUCACCGCUUUUUUCUUCUUCCGCCAACUCACUGCCCAUGUGGCAGUUUUGAGUCUAUUUUCGCAAAUAAAAGUUUGAGAGGCCUAUUUUUAGAAUAAAAAUUUUGAAGGAGACUAGUUGGGUAAAAACUCCUCUGUAGACUGUAGGCACAAAAUCUACAAAUCACUUCAGGGGAGAAAAAGAGAGAGAAAGAGAGAGAGAGAGAGAGAGAGAGAGGUUCGUUCAACCAUGAGCCAUUUUGAAAUUAAAAUAGGUUUAGCCAGGGAAAGCUCUGAUCCCACAGCGGAAGGAGGCGGUGACCAAAGUAGAGAUCGCACAGAGGAAGCCGGCGGCGACCAAGGCAGUGAUUGCACAGAGGUAGGCAAAGGCGACAGCAGUGAUCGCACAGAGGAAGAGACUUAUCCCCUUGUUUUAAUCUGGUAUAAGAUAGGGUAUAAGGGGCGGUGAGCAAACCUCAUAUCUAGGCUACGCACAAGGAAAUGUGGUGGUUUCUCCCCAAAGCCGAGGAAGGCGGCGCUUUCUCCCCAAAGCCGAGGAAGGCGUCGGGUUUCCAGCAACGGCGAAGAAGGCAAAAAGAGGAAUAAAGGCCCGGGGGUUCAAAAGAUGGGAAAAAAGGCGAAGAGAGGCUGCCAUGGCCAUGGGGGACCUCAGAUCGGGGAUUUCCAGUGACGGCGACGUCGGCGAAGCCUAGAUCUGACAAGGUAAGGGGAUUCCAAAGAUGGAGCUUCCUCAGAUCUAGGGUUUGGAGCGACGGGGAAGAUGGCGAAGAGAUGAAAAAGGGCGCCGGGGAUCCACAGAUGGAGAAGAAGCCCACGAUGGGAGAAGCAAGCGGGUUACCAGCGAUGCCAUGGCUGCGGGGGAUCCAGAGAUGGAGAAGAAGGCGGCUGAAGGGAGAGAGAAAAGGCUUUUGUUUUUUCCAAAAGAUGCCCCUGGUACAAGCCUUGGGAUAGGCUUGUUCCAACCCGGGGGUGGGAACAGCAGUUCCCACCCUUAACGGGUUAUACCAGGUAUAACCCGUUAGGGUGCUGUUCCCACCCCAACAUUUUAUUGUUUGGGUACAAGAUAGGGGAUAAGCCCCUUAUCCCCUAUCUUGUACAAGAUCCAAACGGUGUGUAAAAGUCCGGAUAUCUACAUCCAUAUCCCUUUUUUUUCGGAUAUUCGAAAAAAUUCAACUCUCUAAAACCUUAUCCAUAUCCCUAUCCGACCGGAUCUGAAUAUUAUCGAAUACGGAUAUAGAUAUUUUCGGAUAAUAUCCGAUCCAUUUUCACUCCUACUAUGGAUAGUAUAGUAGCAUAUAUANAUUGUUUGGUAAUUUACUAUCAUAUGAUUUUAAGCUAAGCAUUUUUGUCACUAAUGAUUACACUAACAAUAUUUUAUAAAGAUUUAUUAUUAUAAUGUCUUUGAACUAUAGUUGAAUGUCCUAAUAAAAGUUUGUGAAUGUAGAGAAAUUUUGAGAAUGUCCUCUGUGUGAUUCUUUUUUUCUUUUUUUUUUGAGUCAUUUAUAUUUUACUCAUAGUAUGCAAGCAACAAGACCCAAUUAUAAUUGUGAGCACGCAUUAUCUAUAGAAGUUUCCUUCAAAGUAGAUGAUUCCACUAUCUAUGUAAUAGUGGAUGUAUUUUACUGCUUAUUAUCGAAAGUGAAUUUUAGUAUGUGUUAAAUUUUUUUUGUUAAAUUUUUUGUUUGUAUGUGUUAAAUUUUUUGUAUGUGUUAGUAUGUGUUAAAUUUUUUGUUGUGCCCAGCUUUAGCAACGCGCAUAGAUCAACAAGUAGGAUGCAUCGCUAAGCCAAACAAAGCCUAAACCACACAUCAUAAUAUAUUUGUAUUCAGCCUUGUGAAAGUGUGUUUUCAUAUAUAUAGACAUUUUCUUAUCUUAGGUUGGAAAAGUUUUGCACAUCAUACUUAGGUAUAGGAAGAUAAUUCUAUACGGUUAUAUAAUAAAAUCUCUUUAAUUAUAUAUACAUUCUUCUGUUUCUAUCAGUUAAAAUUUGCUCUUCAAGUUAUUAUGAAUUUUUUUUAUCUUUUUUUUGUCUUUAUCUGAAUACAAGGUCAAUUACUUAUGGUAGUCUCAAAAACAGUUGAAAAUAAGUUAAUUUUACAUUUUAAGCUUAUUUUCUCUGCAUGUUGGACAGUGCUAUAUGAAUAAUUUGCUUUUAUAUGAAGCCAAAACUUUUUCAACUCUUUUUCCUAUGGAUCCACAAGGCAAUUGAGAGAUAAAUGGUCUGUGAUCCUCACUUCCCUAAUUUCUUUUUUCCUUUGCUCCUAAAAGUUUCAAUAAUGGAUUUUUCAUUUUGCAUGUUGCUAAGUUUUUAGGCCCUUUCUGUAAUAGGGACCUUUUCUAUAAUUGAGGAUGCAUAACUUUUAUAGUUUCGAUUCUAGAAUUCAGGCUUAAGAUUUCAAUUUUUAGUUUAUCCUAAAUCCUCUUUGAUUUUUUUUUUUCGAUAGCUGGGCAAAUUUUGGAUAGAACUUUUCUCAAAUGAAUUUUAAUUUGAUGUACAUGCCAAUUUGCUUCUUGAUGCAGUAAAGACAAUCGACUCCAACACCAUGAAGUUAUUUACAGCAAAAUAUAAGAUGCUAAACAAGAGUGUCAUAGUGUACAAAAAUGCUAUUCUUAUAUGCCGCCCCUUUAUCAAGUGAAAAAGAAAAUCAUGUUGCCCCAAUCUUAAUAUUUGCUAUGAUUCCAUGUAGACGUAGUAUAAGUAUAAUAGUACAAGCCUACAAUUGCAGGGAGAUUAUUUGUGAUCCAUAAUUUUGAUUCUUUAAGUUUGUUUUUUAUAUUUGCCAAAUUAGACUGAUGUGAGAAACUUUUAUGAAAAAUUUAUCUUUACCUUCUGUGACUAUACUAAUGUAUUGAUUAUUAUUAUUAUAUGUUUGCAUUAACAAGCCGUGUGGAUCUUUUUAAUCAUUCUAUAGUAGUGCCGAUCGUUGUAAAUAACAAGUUUGUUUGUGAAAACUUACGCAAGAUUUUGCAUAUUUCCUUCUUUCUUAUUUUAUAAUCAACUAAUACUCUUUCUCAUCUUUUUGAUGGUUUUCUUAUAUUUUAUCAGGAAAGCUUAUUAAUAAGAGUCGGCUUUUGGUUCAAUGAGAGAUCAUUAAAAGGCCAAUUCCUUCUAAUAUGUUGGUAGUUAUUUUGACUUGCAGUAGUUUUUCAAUUCUAGAUGUAAUACUAAAUAAAAUCUAUUAUGUAAAAUUUGCAGUCCCACUUUGUAGUAAAUUUUCCAAUCCAAGAUAUAGCGCCAAAUAAAAUUUAUUAUGUAUUUGCAAUCUCACUUUACCAUCCUUUCCUCAUCGUGUAUUUGUUGUUGAAAAGUUGGGUUACAAAAAACUUAUCUUUGAAAAAGUAAGUAGGUGUUUAAUCUGCCAUUGUUAUUUUUAGUGCAUGCUGUGGAUAAAUAAUUUGUUUCAAAUUGAAAUUUUUCCUUUUUCCUUUAUGUUAUCUGUGUACAGCUUUGUUUUUCUAUUAAUCAUGUUUAUAAAGUACGAAUAAAGUAUAUAUGUACUGAAAUUAGGAGCAAGUACGUGAAUCAUUUAAUUGUGUUCAUCAUGAUGCCACUGAAUUGUCAGAAAAGAAAAAAAAAAUUAUCAAAUGUAUAAAAUCUUUCAAAAGAUUCGUUAUUUAUUCUCUUCAACAUACUUAUAUUGUUUCUACUUAUAUAUUUAUAUGAGAGUAUUAUAUUUAUAUUAAAAUAAAUAUUGCGGCUUUUUGUUUAAAUAUAGAGUUUUUUUGGGAUAAAUGCUUGAUAUUUUUUUAUUAUUAAUUACUUCAUAGAGUUUAUCCGCUGCGAAGCGCGGGUCUCUUCACUAGUAUAUAUAUAUAUAUAGGCUAAUGCUACUAUUCAAUUAAUAGGAUAGGAGCACUUGUCCUAUCAAGUUGUUCUUGAUGAUCGAGAUUCCGAAGCGAUGAUCGGAGCCGUUGAAGUUGAUCUAGAGUAUUUGAAAUAUCUAGAAACUAAAUUUCAUAAAUUUUGAUAAUGGUUUACAUGGUGAUCAAAGUGUCGUAAAAUCGACAAUUUUUGACGGCCUAUAUGAGCCGUUUGCUUGUUUAACGGUGUAGAGCAAUCCANAGAUGGUUUCUUUUUUCUCUGUUUCUUAUCAAUUUCAUUAAUUUUUUUUUCUUAAAUCAGUGAUAAAGUUAAAAUUAAAGGGUACUAAAGUGAAUAUUUGAUAAAUCUAGAUGGGAAUCUGAAGUUUUUUGUAUAUAAUUUAAUGAAAUAUUAACGAAAAAGCUACCGAAAAGAUAAAAACGAAACCACAUCGGGGCAAUUUGAUAUAUUUUAAACCACAGGGGGGCAAAGUGAGAAACUAUGAAACCCCAGGGGGGGUUUUUGAAGUUUUCUCCUUUUUUUAAUACACUUGUAUAGGUUACAUGGAUGCCCUAUACGGAGGAUGUUUUGAACGGUCUUCCUGCAUUUUGUCUUGAGGACUCUGCAAUUUGGCGUUCAAGAACUUGUUUGAUAUGCUAUCAUAUUGUCGAGCUGCAUUUACCUGAUAGAGUUCUGCGUCAGUUUGGAUUGCUGCAGCAUAUACCGGAGCCCGUAUAAGCUAUACAGAGGAUCACCUCGCAGGGUAGAUCAGGCAAGGACUAGGCAGCGUUUCAUGCUCCAUAUAUUCAGCGUUGGGCAGAUUGUUUGGAGCAUAUUGCGGAGCAAAGCCCUUUCGUCGAUCCAGAUCUGAUACGAGCUACCUCUGUGUACAUGCAGUGGUAUUGGGGGAUCACAUAGAGGUGGAUUUCUCGUUCUGUACAGCGGCCUCCACUUACUUUUCUUCCGCGUGGGAAUGUCGAGCGACGAUUGGUAAUAUUAUUUUAUUUUAUAGUUUAUUUUAAUAUAAGGAUAUUCAUUAUAUAUAAUCAUGUAUGUUUAUACAGGUGUAUGCUAUGCGGCAUGCUGUUAGCAGUAUCGGUCAUUUGAUGGAUGAUCCUCCGGAGCCCACUAGAAUGAUGGAUGCUCUAGCACAUAUGAGGUAGGAUCUCGAGAGUGUGUUAGAGAGCCUUCCGACAUUACCCGUGACAGGGCAUUCGGAUGUUUCUUCUUCGACUUUUGGUGCUUACGGUGAUAUUCCCUCCACCUCCACGCCUGCAUAUGAUUUCGGUAAUAUUCCCUCCACCUCGAUGCCUGCGUAUGAUUUUUCAUCGACAUCUGUCUCAAUCCAUCCAUCUGAUGUCCCUUAGACUUUUGAUGUCCCUUUGACAUCGGAAGUGCAGUUUGAUAUUCCGUCGGCAUCAAUCCCUCCAUUUGAUAUUCCAUCUACGUCAGAGGUAUUCUAUUUUUAUAUUUCAUUCACGUCUAUCCAUCUUUCUGACGUUCUAUCCAUGUCGCAGGUUCAUCGCAAUGAUGUUGUAUAUCGAUGUAGGCGACGACGACAGGGUCAUAUUGAGACGCAGGAAGGGAUACUACCAUCAGCUAUUGAGCAAGGGAUGGAGCCGAUUGUCGAGGGCAUCGCCAUCGAGCAUAUUGAUCAGAUGCAUGUCAUUGAGCCCGUGCAGCCUGAGAUGGAGCAUGACAUACAUAUUCGAGGACGGAGUCGAGGACGCGGUCGUGGACGCGGACGUGGACGUGGCAGGGGACGAGGGCGAGAGCAUAGGAGGGGGAUGGAUGGGACUUGAUUUUUUUUAUCAUUUUUGGGAUUCUUAUGUAUAUUUGAUAUUUCAAAUUUUUGUACAUUGAUUUUUUAUAGUAUUAUCUAGAUUUAUUCAUAUUGAAAUAUGUUGAUAUUGGUAUAGCUCAUUUUAUGUGCUUAAAGUGAAGUUGAAGUUGCUAUGGAUGAUUUUAUGUAUUUAUUGCUGUAAUUGAAAUGUUUGAAAACAUUGCUAUUUUGUAUAAUGUGGGAAUUUUGCAAAGUUGCUGCUGCAUGGGUGUGGAUUUGAUUAAAUGCGGUGAACCAUUUACCGCAUAUAAAAGCGGUGAAUGGUUCACCGCAUUUAAAAGCGGUGAAUGGUUCAUCGCUUUUAAAUGUGGUGAACUAUUCACCGCAUUUAUGAGUUUUCUCAACACACCCAACCGAGGGGUAACAACAUGAAGGCGGUGAAUGGUUCACUGCCUUCAUAGGAUUUUUAAAUCCUUUUGAAAGCGGUGAACCAUUUACCGCUUUCACUUGAAAGCAGUAGAUGGUUCACCGCUUUUAUCUUUUCCCGCCAACUCACUCCCCAUGUAGCAGUUUUGAGUUUAUUUUCGCAAAUAAAAGUUUGAGAGGCCUAUUUUUAGAAUAAAAGUUUUGAAGGAGACUAGUUCGGUAAAAACUCCUCUGUAGACUGUAGGCACAAAAUCUACAAAUCACUUCAAGGGAGAAAAAGAGAGAGAGAGAGAGAGGUCCGUUCAACUAUAAGCCAUUUUGAAAUUAAAAUAGGUCUAGCAGGGUAAAACGGGCGCUCGAAGCCCCAUGGGCUGACACGGCUCGACAAGGUCGAGGUCCGAGACAGUCUGGUACUUUUUCUUUUUCUUUUAUACUUAAUAAUAUAUUUUUUUCUUUUUACAAAUAAUAAUAUAUUAGUUAAGGAGGCCGCCGCACGAUGUGGCGGUAAGAUAAUACAACGAUAAAUUAUUAUAAUUAUUAAGAUUAUUUUUUUUAUUAUGCAUUAAUAUUUUCAAAUAUUAUUUAUCUCAGUAUUGAAUAAAAAAUUAAAUAAUAAAUUAAAGAAUGAAAUUAAAGUAGAUUUCUUUCUAAAAAUAUUUAAAUCUAAUAAGUAAAAUAAAUAAAUCAGUAUAAAUAAAAAAAAAGUGAUUCAUGCGACAAAAUUUUAUUAGCUGAAAUUUUAAUUUUUUUAUAUUGACUAUUAAAAAAUAGGGUUGAUUCAUGUGAUAAAAUUUUACAUUUGCUGUAAGCAAAAAUAAAAAAAAAGUUGUUGAGAAAAAAACAAAGAAAGUGAAAGAGACUGAGAGAGAGAGUGAGAGAGAGGAAAAAGAAAAAAAAAAUAGGCCCCACCAGAAGCCCCCCCAAACCCGAGGAGGCUUCCUUUGGGUUCCUAAAUAAUAAGUACUAGGAUGGUUGUCACGCCCCAGAUUACCACGUUUUUCCGGGCACGCCCCACAGACCGGUCGUAUACAUAGAAAUUUUUAAUGUAUACGAAGCGAUAGUUGUACCUAUAAUUAAAUCAUAGCUACAACUAGAAGUAUAAAGCUGCUAAAUUGAAACAUGUAUAUAUAAAACAUAAAAGGGUUCCUGUACAUACAAAAUUCCGUAACACAACUCGCUCUAGCGAGUACAACGACAACAAGAAAAUAUGUACACAGAAAUUCCCAAAAACUAUCUCUGGAUGGUACUUCUCUAGCACGACGACAAGACUGGUAGGGAUCUAACUCGCAACUCCCUUCCCACGAUCCAAGUCAGCAACAUCAGCAGCCGCAGACGAAGGCUCUGCAAAAAGGUGUCAACAACUAGGUGUGAGAACUACUGCCAAACAGAGUAGUCCUUAGUAGGUAUCACCACCGACCUCAACGGCUCACCCACUAAGUGUACAGAAAUAUAUGCAAAGGAUAGUAAGGAAAGCUGGAAAAACUCUACAGCUACAUGCCACUAUACUAUCGCUAACCAACACAGACUAUCUGUAGAGCAAAAACAUGCAUCACACUGACCCAAUCUCACUAGGGACUACGAUACACCCGUCCUGCCUGUCUAAACUACACCGUACACCACCUCGAGGGUAGCCGGUGGAGAGCAAAGUCCAACCUGGACUCCUACGACAUCAACGCAAAGCAAGGUAGCCAGACUCCAGAGCGGCACUCGUAGGCGCAACCCAACCGAGUAUGCAAGCGUGUCUCUGCCGAGCUCAAUCAGGCUCUCACAGGCUGUAGCAUACCGAACUUCUAUAAUUAUGAAGUUACUGUGUAUGUUGGUUUGGAAAGCCAUUAGAAUGAUUCCGGUGGAGUUCGGGAGCAUUCGGGUGUUUUCGGUACGCGUCGGGCGCGGAAACAGAACUCGAAAAGCUAUGAUUGGAUCUUGGCCGAAAUCCGGCAAGGCGUGGAUGAAAAGAUGGUUUAAAUGCGCUCGAAAAUAUGUUUUGGGGGUCUCGGUACGAUUAGAGAUGAAUCAGAGGCCCCAGGAGCGAAAACGAGCGAAAAUGGACCAAAAGCUGAAAUUGCUGAAAAUUUGGCUAAGUCCUUAAAAUGCAGAAUUUCUGGACCUACGGGGUCCGGACCUUGGUUGUAUAAGGGUCUGGACCCUGAGCCCCAAAACUGCCCAGAAACAGUAGGGGGCUAAUUGUAAUUGUGUGGUUGACUUAUAAAAGGAGUCUUCUUCUCCUUUCUUCUUCUCCCACAGCCAACACACAUAUACCCACACAUAUGUAGAGAGAGAAGUACCUCUCCCUCUCUCUAGAUUCCUUCUUUAUCUUUCUAAAUCUCUCUCCCAAAUUUGGAGGCUUGGUGGAAAAAGAGUUGGGGAACGUGUUGGGAAUUACGGUUCGAGCCUUCGUGCGCCCGGUUGAGCGAUGUGCUUCCGUCUCGGCGUUCGCAUUUUGAUAAGCUUUUGGGAUUUGGUUUAAUCCUUAAUGCUUAGUGUUCUAGUAACCUCUAGAAUAUUUCUAGCAUGUUUCCUUCAUGAGUUUUGGGUUAAUUGGAGGAUAUAAGCAUGCUAGGGUUAGAUUCGGGUUUUGGGGCAAACGAGGGUUUUGAUCUAAAUUAACCCUAUUAUUCUCUAAUUGAAGGUUAAAGAUAAGCCCUUGAAGACCCUAAGUCGCGGAUCGACGUGCGGUUGGUGGUCGUUUGCGAGUUCGAGCCGAACAGAGCAAUGGUUGCCGCGGGAAUCCGAUUGCAAGUGACUACAAGCAAUCGGGUAGCAUUGCGAGGUGGGUUGUGCUCACCGAAGAUAUUAGCUCACUUCCAUAUCGAAGUGAAAUGUGAUUCCCUUAUUGAUGCAUAUAAUGGUAGUCAAAUUGCUAGAUAAAUGCAUGAGAUGUAUGCUAGAUGAAUGCAUAAAAUAGAUGCUAGAUGAAUGCAUGACAUAGAUGCUGGAUGAAUGCAUGAGAUAAAUGUUAUGUAAUGACUACCAUUGGAUGAUGAAAAUAUGUGCAUGUUGACAUAUCAUGAGAUGCUAGAUGAUGUACAUGCAUGUUGACAUAUCAUGAGAUGCUAGAUGAUGUACGUGCAUAUUGACAUAUCAUGAGAUGCUAGUUGAAAAUAUAUACAUGUUAACAUAUCAUGAGAUGCUAGUUGAUAUAUAUGCAUGUUGAACUUGGGUCGAUAAACUUUAGGUUGAUUAGAGAACUCGACAUUGGAAAACAAGAAUGUGUAAACUAUGAUACUUGAUGUGGACAGCUAGGAUGUCAAGUAGAUCGAGUGACAUUUGAUAUUAGUGUAGUGAAGACACUAUGACAUGAACAUAGGGAUAGAAGAUUUUCCGAGUUGUUGAUAAAUGAUAUGUGAAGUUAGUGUAGUUGAGACACUUGAACAUGGACAUUGGGAUAGUUGUGUUCCCGAGUUGCUAUUAGUCUUAGUUGACAGGGUAUCCUCAUUUGACGAGGAUUGGAUUAUACUCACAUAGUCUGUUUUGAGCUUGGGGUGGUCGCUCCACACAAGCAUGCACUCCGGAGUUGUUACACUAGGGGCAGACGUAGUUGUCCCGCAGGCGGUCUCGGGUGGGAUGAAGCGGCGGAAGCUCCUCACCUAUGGGAUUUGAGAUGUGAGUCGGGGCGAAACCUUCGGGUUAGCCAAGCAGAUUGCGGGACAAGCAUAUGAGCUGUAGUUGAAUCCCAGUAUAGUGGAUUCGGUAUCCAAGUUGAGUGGAUUUAAGGCUGAGGUGCAUGUGAGACGUCCUUCACCUUGAGCCUGGCUUUGCGCGGUAUCCGCGGAUAAUUGACUCAAGACCGAGUCGGGUGGAUAACUUUGUAAAGGUAUAUGAAGCCUUGUGAGCAAACAGUAAAGGUAGAUGAAACCUUAUGAGCAGAAUUGUAAUUGAUAUGAAUUUAAGAUAGAGGAAAACUUGGAAGUCAAUUUGAUGAGCUGUGGAUAGCGAUACAGAAAGUAGAAUUAGUAGAUCUACUUACAUCAUUGCAUGUUGAGUUGCAUGAUUUGUAUUAUUGCAUGUUGCCAGGCAUGAACAUGAUAAAUGUUAGUUGCAUAACUUAUUUGAUGAAAAAUAUAUAUCUAUGGAUGUUUGUUCAACUAACAUGUUGCAGUGCCUUCUUCGGACCCGGUGGGUCGAGCUCUUCCCUUGGGUGGCCGUACCCACUGGAAACUAUGGACAAUAGUUCUCACCCCUACGUGGUUUUUGGGGAUUACAGAUUCACACGCGAGCGGCGCGGCGGCGCGAGGAAAGGACGUAGCUCCGUAGAUAGCGCCCUACCAUUGGACCAGAGAUAACGGUACCCCGAAGUGGUCUAGCUUAGGGGUUAGAGAUGAAAGAACAAACUUGUAAUAAAUGGUUGUAUUUGGAAGAUUGAAACAAAUGUAAUAAAAAUGUAAAACCUGGGACGAAUGCUUGUAAUAGCAUAGUUCUAUUUAUGUUUUCGAUACUUCUUUAUGCAAUCCUUGCUUGAUUAUUGUUCCUGGUUGGAACCUCGCGUUUGUAUGGAUUGUGACGCCUAGGACGUACUGGGGAAACUCUGUCCGUUCGACGGUCUUUUGGCGUGCUCGAAUCCGACCAAAUAGGCAGAUCUUGGGGCAUGAUAGAUAAAGUGGUAUCAGAGCAUAAAAAGAACAUAAAAGAGAAUAAUAGAAAUGGUUUAGAUGGACCUAGAAGACCCUAGGAUAGUAAACCAUAGAGGUUAAGGCUCGUGAGAGACGAGGACUUGUGACUUGCGGCGAAAGGUUAAUUGAUUGGGUCAUGUUGUAAACCUCUAAAAUGGAUAUUAGAGGUAGACUCAAGGUGAAGUUUAUUCUCAACCGAGGGUGUUCAUGUUGGACGCGUACGACAUGAAACCGAGUGAUGAGAAUAGGCGCCCUUGCGUGACUUUCGCCCAAUUUGAGUCGGUGUUAGUUGCCUCGUGUUUAACCCGGAGGGUCGAGGAUUAAUAGAGUUGUCGCGUUUUAGGAAGCGAUAGCACGGCGCAGGCGAUCUUCGUCUAGAUCGGCGCGGGAUGGGACAAGUGAUGUUCCUAAGCAAUCCGAGGUGAGCGGAGACUUGGAACUUCGCGAGCAGUUGGCCAUACUCGUGGGAGUGGUGAGGCAACAGGCCAAUUUGGUUCAACGACAGUAGGAGGCUGCCAUGCGCUAGGUGGAGCAAAUGAAAAAGCUCCAAGAAACGGUUAAUCAAUUAGUGACUGCACCAGUUUCGGCUCGUCGAGUACGGACGGGAGUCGCGGCGGAGGUGUUUCCGUCUGGGUCGGGUAAUCCGACUUUUAUCAGUUCAGAGGUGGAGGCGGUGAGGGAGCGAGUUUUGGCGGCCCUCGUGACCUUCAAGAGGUUUGAUCCUCCUUGUGACGCCCCGACUUCCCAGGGGUCACCCAUCCUAGGACUACUCCCGUCCUAGCACGCUUAACUCUCUUAACCUCUUAGGUCUAGCCACCACCCAAAAUGCUUAAGCCGGGUUAAGAGUUUAGCCCUAUUAUAUCAUAUAUAUAGGACUAUCUGGGGUCUCACACUCCUACCUUUGAUGGAGAGGAUGCAAAUCCGUGGAUCGUGGAGGUAUGGAUUGACUCCAUGAAAACUCUUUCUGAGGAUCGGUACACGGUGGAGCCGGACAAGGCACACCUAGCCGGUAUUGUCUGAAACAGUCGGCGAAGGUGUGGUGGAGAGGCGUCAAGCGGAACCGAUUGCCUAAUCUCCCUCCUAUGACUUAGGAAUAAUUUCGGGGAUUCGUGUUCUCUGCCUAUUUUCCCGACAGUGAAAAGAGAAAGCUUCAGGAAGCUGCGACAGGGAGACUGCACCGUGAAGGAGUACGAGCGGGAAUUCUCCCGUAUCGUGAGUUGUGUCCUGAAUAUGGUGCGGGAUGACAAGAUCAAGCUGAUCGCUUGUACGCGGACUUCGGCAGGGGAUUUGCAAAGUUGUGCACAUUCUUAAGUCGCAACUUUUGCCGAAGUCUUGGACUGAGCCUUAUGGGCAGGACAAGGCAAUGCCUUCGCGCGAGGAGAGCGUGAAUCUCUCGGGCGAGAGAUGAGAGUGGUGCGACUGAGGAGCAUUGCUGGCAGUCAAUCAAGCUCUAAGCGACCCCCGAAACAGUUGCAAUCGCAAUCGCGAACCCCAGAAGUGUUUUCUAUUUAACUUUCUUUGGGAUGCGGGAUUGUAGAAGUUCUCACCAGGCGCGGCGGUGUCCGCGGCGGGCGCCGAGUGACCAUGAGGACGCGACCCAGGUCGAGGAGCCUUGCAUGCAUUUAUCAUGUGGUCAUUUACUAUUAUUGAUACAUCAGUGUAGUAGGGACCAAAUGGACGGGUAAGUGUAAAUACUCGGGCAUGCCUGCGUGUGGAAGUGUAUUACCUGUUGGAGCAGGUAGAGAGCUAGAUGGCACUAGCAAAUUGCUGGUGAUGGCCUAUGGAUGAGAGGUGAGACUCGUGGUAGAGAUAGAAUUGGCGGACCGACUCUCAAAGCAAUAUGAGUAGUUGAUUGCGAGAGUUGAGCCGUGGUACUUGAGGAUCUGUUGAGAGUCCAGGAAUUUCGGAUGUUGUUCCAGUAGAGCGAAUAGUGAAAGCGGAAUCAUUGUUGAGAGAGUAACCAGUUGGUUGCCGAUUACGGGCACGUGGGCCUAGUAGUACCUCAAAUUGAGGUAGGUGAGUUGUGCUCGUGUGGCUUAUGCGCAUAGGCAGUAUUGCCUGAUGCUGGACUUAGUGUGGAACGCGGUAGAAGCGUACGACGCUCGAGUGUAGAUACUCGUGGAGUACGGAUUUGAUUCAGCCGAGAGAGUGAGUUGGCAGUAGCACUUCAGCAUGGCUAAGUGUGAAGCGUGCCUUGAAUCACUCGUAGGGCUGGUGGCUCGCACUAGGUGCUUAGGAGCCGAUAGUGGUACGUAUGGCUCGGUAGAGAGCAUGUCGUGUAGGACGACGACGACGUAUAUUGCUUGAGGACAACCCGAGCCUGGACCAUUGUGGACUGUGGAGCCUUGGGCCUUGUGGACAGGCGCAGCCAGCUGUGUGGAACAGCGGCCCGGUACCUACGGGUCGGGCAGAGGUUUGGUCAAGACGGUAGUUUGAGCUUAGACCUGGGAGCGUGGAAUGCCACGUGUUGGAUUGCGAGAUCGAUUAGACACCGAGGGUGUAGUGACCCAACCCGAGGACUUGACGUGGUUUGGGGUCUUGGUUGCUCCUAGUUGGAGUGUGUGCGAAUUCUCCAAUGAGAAUUUUGCCCAGUGAUGAUUGGGUCUACACUUGCGAGCGAGAGAUGCUGAGCGUAGUUGAGACAGGUUUAGGCGGUAGGCCUACUGUAAGGAAGUGAAUUCUCGAAAUCCUAGAGUUCGACUUCAUCCAGGAUCGACUAAUUGUCGAAUGAGCACCCUUUGGGAAGGCUAAAGAUAUCCAAAACACAAAAAGUGCAUUGGAGUUGAGUCCGCGAGAGCAUAUAGUGCAAAACCUGCACUGGGCCGAAGUUGCUCUCAGGGACCCGUCCCUGGCAGGGAGAGACCGGUCCCCGAGGCUGGUAGUUGCUGGGGAUCUUUGAUGCAACCGGUCCCAGGCUGAGGGGACCGGUCCCCGUGUGCGACGCGAGCGAGAAAAGCCAAAAUUUGGCUGUCCCGAAAAUCGAGCUCUCGGAACCGGUCUCUCAGACAGGAACCGGUCUCUCGAGGACCGGUCUCUCGGGGAGAGACCGGUUCCCGAACGCGUGAUAUCUGGGGAGGCUCUCUGGGACCGGUCCCAGGUCGGGGAGACCGGUCCCUCUGGGCGCAGAAUGCCCAGUGAGGGCUGUGCACAGAGAUGAAAGUUGAGGGGUUUAUUUGAAUUUUGUUACAUUAGAGGGGUAUGUAGGCCCUCUCUCUCUCCCUCAGCCUCUCAUUCUCUCUCUUUCUCACACUCUCUUGCUCCCUCUCUCUCUCUAGAAAAGAAAGAACAAAGGAGAAGGAGAAGAAGGAAGAGAAGAAGAAGAAGGAGGAGAAGAAGAAGAAGAAGGAGGAGAUCAAGCUAGAGAAGGCUUGGAGCAUCUUCCUCUCUCCCUCUCCUCUUCUCAUUGGUGUAGCUCAAGAGGUAAGCCCUAACCCUAGCUUUUGGAAACUUAGGGUUUUGGGUUUUGAGUUUUGGAGAGGAGGUCAAAUGGACCUCUUGCACCAUUAAUGGUGGCUUUGAGCUAGAAGCUAGGGUUCUAUAGUGCAAAUGGCAAGAUGUGAACCCUAGGGCACCCAAAAUAGAAUUUUUGGAAAUAGAUGAGAUUGAUCUCAUUUGAGGCAUUGUAAACCUAAUUGCUAGGUGUCCAAACGCGUUGGCGGAGUCGGAUUUACGAUUCGUCGAGCGGGUGUAGAGCUAUCGGCAAGGUAGGGCCGACCUAGCUUCGUUUCUCCCAAAGAGGCGGGGAUUACGUGGUUUGAAGUGCCGAGGAAAAUUUCUAGAACCUCUACAACGAGAAAAGGUGGAGGGUGUCAUCCCGAAGCAACCGGACUCUUUUCUAUGUCUUAGAAUAACAUAUAAUUUCAUCUCUUGCAUGUUGCAUUGUAGGAUUGCAUGUUUAACCUUCUCCUUAUGCUUUCUAAAUAGUAACCUAGUGUGCAUGGAAUGCUAGGCGAAUAGGAUAGGUGAGGAUUGGGUCGGAACAUUAGAUCCUAUAGUGCUAAAGAAAAGAGGUGAACGUGAUGGUUAUCUAGUGACAAAGAGUGGCAUCUAAAUAUCUAAAGAACAAACGAGUGGCGUUAAUGUAGUGUACUUGACACUAGAGGUUUGAGAACCUAGGGAUAGGCGAAUCCCUUAGAAAAUGCCUUGUGGACAAAGAACUUAGUAAAGCUAAGUAUCUUCACAUGGAGAGGAUGUAGAUGAGUUCGUUCGAGAUGUUGGCCAUAGUUCGUAGGGUAUCCUCACUUGGAGAGGAUAGAUCUAGCUCACGGUCUGUUAUUUGGGGUGGUAUAGCCAUCCAUAUCCUCACAUGGAGAGGAUUGUCGUCGAGUACUCCAGAGUGUCGGGCGAUAGGGACCACAUGGAGCUCCGCAGACAGUCCUGGGUUUGGGGGCACAUGGAGCUCCCUUACCCAAUACGGGAUGGAAAUGUGAGUUAUAGGCGAACCCAAGGGUCUCGCCAUAGAUUGGGUAAAUGGGAAACAAGUGUUGUCAUUGAACAUUAUUAUUCGAACAUGGAUCGAACUUGUUAGCAUGGUAGUAAAUCUUUACUAUAUGAUGCAUGCAUUCAUUACACGGGAUUAUGGGCAUAGUAGCAUAGAUUUCCUAUUAUAUCAUUUACAGCUUUGAGAUAUCUAUCUAUAUAUCUAUCUUGUUGUUACUUGUGCCCACUUGGACCUAGUGGGGAGACCGGUGGAGUCGGCGGAUGAGCCCACUGGGAACUAUGAAAGAUAGUUCUCACCCCACUCUAUUUCCAGUGGUAGGUACAGGAUUACCGAGAGAGGACCGCGGCAAGGGCAUCGCGCCCGAGCAGUGAGACCGUGGUAGCAUAGUUGCUUUCUUUUUGCAUUAGCACACCUAUGUAUUUGAGAAUUUCAUGUAGGUGAGGUUGGAGAGCUAUGUAUUUUGGAUGAUCAAAUGUAAUCAUUUUGAGAAAAGAUGUAAAUGUAGAAGAAUGCAAAACUAUCGUAAUAGUUAGUAAAGUACUCACUUUAUUUUACUCGUUUUUACUUGUGGAUUAAUUGCUUUUGUUGUUGUUGGCACUGUUUGUGCACCGUUGAAUGUGUAUGUUUAGAAUUUGAAUUUCUUGGGUAAAUUCUUGUACACAUUCUUGUUGUUGAGCCUUGGGCGGACAUGGGAGGUGCUGUCCGUUCGGCGGUCCACCCGGCGUGCCCGAAUCAUGCCAAAUUGGUAGUGGUUUCGGGGCGGGGCGUGACACCUACGUAGGAUUGGUGGCCUGUGAUCCACCCGUGGAAACCCAGAUGAGCGGUUUGGCCGACCACUCUAUCGGGGAGUUGGCUCGGAUUCAUGAACGGAGUGUUCGUGUGAGUUCGUUGUAGGAACGAAUUCGAGUUGGUCGUGGCAUAUGGUAUCGAAAGAUAAAGUAGUCUCUAGGAGACACUUGGAUAAUGGAUAGCCACGUGAGGUUUAAGGACCAAUGCUCUUUUGAGGAUUGAAGUUGGAGAUGUGCCAGAGUAUGCCAUCUCGUAGUAGAGCAAGGAUCCGGUUGUGAUUGGAGUACUCACGAUGGAGCGAUGCACCCCUGAUAUUGCCUCUAAGCAAUGCCGGUAAUUGAAUCGGAGUGUGUUCCCUGAAAAGAUGAUGAAUGCAAGGAGGAGUUGUAUUAAACUCUUGGAUAGCCAAAGUGGUAGAAUGCCACUUUGUGAACACUUGAGUGAUUCGAGAAGGCCUACCCGUGUGCAUUGUGUAGCGGUGGUGGAUCGUUCGGCUAGUUGAUGCAUUUUGGCAGAUCCACACCACGAGGAUGGUGGGUAGUCCUGAUCUUGAAGGAAAGUGGUAUCCAGUAGAGUGUGGAAGGACGAGUCCUUCGUUUGCUGGUCAGUGUCAGAACUCUACUCUCACAUCGCGCUGAGUCCGUUUUGCAUCUAUUUCGCGCCAAAACUACUCCGACUUGUCCCGAUACUCUCCAGACGUGCCGACAAGCCUCAGAUGCUAAAAACACACAGGCCGCUGAACACCAGGGACACUACAUCCUCACCUACUACAAAAAGUUUCGUCCUCAAAAUUUAGAAUCAUACAUCAAUCCCGGGCCUCAAAUAAAUAGGGGUAGGACUCCUGCAUCAUAGCCUCUGGCUCUCAAGUCGCCUCACGCUCCUCCUGAUUACUCCACUGCACCUUCAUAUACGUUAUGACCCGGUUAUGCAAUUCUUUCAUCUCACGAGCAAGAAUCCGCACCGGUAGCUCCUCGUAAAUCAAGUCCUCGCCAAACUCAAGUGGAGUGAAGUCAAUCACGCAUGAGGAAUCAAACACAUAUCUCCUCAAUGCCAAGACGUGGAACACAUCAUGGAUACCGGCAAGUCGUGGGGGUAGGGCAAUCCUGUAUGCCACUGGUCCGACUCGCUCCAAAAUCUCAAAAUGGCCAACAAAUCGUGGACUGAGCUUUCCAUGAACUCCAAAUCUGCCAAUCCCUCGGGACGGUGAGACUUUCAGGAAUACAAGAUCACCAACCUGAAACUCCAAGUCUCGUCUCCUGGUAUCAGCAUAGCUUCUCUGUCGACUCUGGGCCGUCUCAAGAUGUCGUCGCACAACUCUGACCUUUUCCUCUGCCUCUAAUAGAAUCUCAGGCCUCAAAGUCUUCCUUUCACCCAUAUCACUCUAAUGCAGGGGUGGUCGACACUUGCGUCCAUACAACGCUUCAAACGGAGCCAUUCGAAUGCUCGCUUUAUAGCUAUUUUUAUACGCAAACUCAACCAAUCUCAAGUGUCGAUGCCACCCUCCUCCGAAAUUCAGGACACAAGUUCUCAACAGGUCCUCUAAAGUCUGAAUGAUUCGCUCUGACUGACCAUCUGUCUGUGAAUGAAACGCUGUACUGGAAUGGAGCUAUGUACCCAAAGCCGUCUGAAGACUCCUCCAAAAAUACGAGACGAACCUCGGGUCUCUAUCUGAUAUAAUCGAGGUAGCCACACCAUGCAAUCUAACAAUCUCAUCCAAGUACAACUGAGCGAGUCGCUCUCUGGACCAAGUGGUCUGCACUGGUAAGAAGUGAGCAGACUUGGUCAGUCUGUCCACUAUCACCCAAAUGGCAUCAAAUCCACCCAGUGCUCUUGGUAAACCCACGGCGAAGUCCAUGGUGAUCUGAUCCCAUUUCCACUCGGGCACUGACAGACUCUGAAGCUUGCCAGCAGGCACCUGAUGCUCGGCCUUCACCUGUUGGCAAGUCAAACACUGAGCCACAAAUCUGCCAAUAUCCGUCUUCAUUCCAUUCCACCGGAAGUGUGCCUUCAAAUCCUUAUACAUCUUGGUUCCACCAGGAUGAACCGUAUAAGGCGAAUAAUGGGCCUCUCUCAAAAUCUCCUCUCGAAUAUCAGAAUCCAUAGGCAUACACAGUCGGUCCCUGUACUGCAGUACUCCCGAACUAUCCACAGUAAAGGCCUCCGCCUGUCCUAUCUCUAAUUGCUCUCGAAUCCUCAACAAUUGAGGGUCUCCACUCUGUUUCUCCCUGAUCCUGUCCAACAAAGUGGGUUGCAAGACCAUAGACAUCAGUCUCGCAGUAGACCCAGGGGACACUACCUCGAGCCUCAACCGCUGCAACUCCAGUCUCUGCUGAGUGAUCAACAUGCUCAAACUCUACACUGCCUUCCUGCUAAACGCAUUCGCCUCCACAUUCGCCUUGCCGGGAUGAUACUGAAUGCUGAUAUCAUAAUCUUUCAAUAACUCCAACCACCGGCAUUGCCUCAGAUUCAAAUCCUUUUGGGUGAAUAGAUACUUGAGACUUUUAUGAUCUGUAAAAAUCUCACAGUGCUCACCAUAUAAAUAAUGCCGCCAUAACUUCAGAGCAAACACCACAGCGGCAAGCUCUAAGUCAUACAUAGGGUAAUUCUUCUCGUAAUUCUUUAGUUGCCGGAAAGUAUAAGCAAUUACCCUACCAUGCUGCAUCAGAACAUAACCCAAACCGCUGUGCGAUGCAUCACUGUUGAUCACAAAUCCUUUCCCCAAACUGGUAGGGCAAGGAUAGGAGCUGAUAUCAAUCUCUGUCUCAACUCAUCGAAGCUCCUCUGACACUCCUCACUCCAAACGAACUUAAUUCCUUUCCGAGUCAAUCGAGUGAGGGGUGUGGAAAGCUUCGCAAAGCCUUCAACAAAUCGACGGUAAUACCUAGCCAGUCCAAGAAAACUCCUCACCUCGGUAAUCGUCGUCGGUCUGGGCCAAUCCUGAAUAGCAUCAAUCUUCUUCGGGUCAACUGCUACUCCGGCUGCAGAAAUCACAUGGCGCAAGAAACAAACCUUCCGAAACCAAAACUCGCACUUCUUCAACUUAGCAUACAACUUCUUUUCCCUCAGAAGCUGUAAUACUAUCCGCAAGUGCUCCUCGUGCUCAACAUCACUCCGGGAGUAAAUCAGAAUAUCGUCAAUGAACACAACCACAAAUCUAUCCAAGAAUGGCUUAAACACUAUGUUCAUCAAAUCCAUAAAUGCGAUAGGGGCAUUAGUCAAUCCGAAAGGCAUCACCGUAAACUCAUAAUGCCCGUACCGAGUCCGGAAAGUCGUCUUGGGUACAUCCUCGGCCCUCACCCUCAACUGGUGGUAACCUGACUAGAGAUCUAUCUUCGAAAAGACACAAGAUCCUUCCAGCUGAUCAAACAGAUUGUCGAUGCCCAGCAAAGGAUACUUGUUCUUGAUGGUCACUUUAUUUAAUUCCUGGUAAUCCACACACAGUCUAAGUAAACCAUCAUUCUUCUUCAUGAACAACACCGGCGCUCCCCAAGGUGAUACACUAGGUCUCACAUACCCCUUAUCUAUCAAAUCCUGAAGCUACGCCUUUAGCUCUCUCAGCUCUGCCCGUGCCAUUUGGUAGGGUGCCUUCGAGAUUGGCGCAGUUCCAGGAACUACGUCAAUCACAAACUCAAUCUCUGUAUCCGGCGGCAUAGUCGUCAGCUCCGGUGGAAAGACAUCCAAAAACUCGUGAACUAUGGGGAUAUCCUCGAGUCCCGGCGCCGCCGUAGGCACCUCUACUACCGUCACCAAGAAAGCGAUGCAUCCCCUACUCAUCAGCUGUCUAGCCCUCGCCGACGAGAUCCAAGUAGCAAACAGCAUACUCCUGCAGCCUUUAUACGUGAACUCCUCCUAGCCUGGCUCGCCGAACAUCACUGUUCUAGCACCACAGUCGAUCGUUGCAUAAUACCGUGCCAGCCAAUCCAUGCCAAGCACUACAUCGAAGUCCUACAACUGCCCUAAGACCAACAGGUCUAUAGGAAUAAUUCAAGAGCCCAACUGCACUGGACAAGACCAACAGCACUCUACCACCUGCAAAACAUGGUCGAAAACGUGCACUUCUCGUGCAUACAACAGCGGCCCUAUCUCUAAACUAUGCAAGGAUGCAAAUGCUCGGCUAACAAAAGAAUAUGAUGCACUGGUAUCAAAUAAAGCACGAGCUCUACUACCAGAAAUCAAAAUGAUACCUGCCAUCACACGGUCUGCUGCUGUAGAGUCCUCAACCUGGGCUGCAUACACCGUGCUACUCGAUGCCUGCUGUCGUCGCUCACUCUGGCGCGGCACUGAAGCCAGAUUAGCCUAGCUAUAGCUCGGUGGUGCUCCAUAAGUCUGCUGAGGUACCGGCGGGGCCGACGCCGUCGAAGAUACUGGUGAUGCUGCUAGAGGACAAGCCGCCCGCAGAUGCCCUAACUGUCCACAAUCGAAACACCGGCCCUCUCUGCUCACAAGACCGAGGCCAGUGCGGUCCCCUACAAAUCACACACUACGGAGUCCCUUGCUACUAUCUCUGCUGACAAGGUCCCCGAGACCGCUAUCACCCCAAAGACCCACGACCCUGAGAGAGUGAUCGUGGCGGCCUCGGCGAACGCCUGCUACUAGUCUGUCCUCCGUCAUAUAGACCUGGGCAUUUCCUAUCUUGACUCUGCCCCGGCACCGUCGCCCACUCAUGGACUGAUACCGAUCCUCUCUCCACCUAGAGUGCCUGCUCGAUCGACGCAUCCAAGGUCUUCAACCUCUGUGCCUGUACAACACGAAGAUCUCUGGCCUCAAUCCCCUCUCAUAUAGAUAGACCUUGUAGGCUUCAUCCCUUGCUACGAAUGGCACACAGUUCAGAAGCCUGAUGAACUCACGAGUAUACUCCUGAACUGAUCGCUCCCCCUGCUGUAGCUUCUUCAGAUCUUCCUUAAGUUUUUGCUUCACCUGUUUGGGAAAUAAGCCUCGUACUGCAUUCCACAAAAUUCGUCUCGCCUCAUCUGUAGUGCGACCAAACCUCUAGUCUGUCUCAUCCUCCUCCACCAGGCAAGAUGAAUGUAAAAAAUCGAUAUAGUAGGCAAGAUGAAUGUAAGGUACCGGACUUCUAAAAAUUAUGAAGUUACGGUGUACGUUUGGUUGGAAAGCCAUUAGAAUGAUUCCGGUGAAGUUCAGAAGCAUUCGGGUGUUUCGGUGCGCGCCAGGCGCGAAAACGGAACCCGAAAAGCUAUGUUGGAUCGUGAACUAAAUCCAGCAUCAGCGUGGAUAAAAAGAUGAUGUAAAUACGCUCGGAAAAAUGUUUGGAGAGUCUCGGUUCGAUUUGAAAUGAAUCGGAGACCAAAUGAGCGAAAACAAGCGAAAACGGACGAAAACUGAAAUUUGGCUAAGUCUGGGCUGGAGGACCUACGGGGUCCGAUCCCUCAGCCAAGGACCGGUCCCCCAGGUCCGGUCCCUCAUGUAAGGACCGGUCCCCGUAGCCCGAAAAUGCCCACUUUGGGGCUGUGCAUAACUUGCAUUGUUGAGGGUGUUUUAUGCAAUUUUACACUUAUGAGAGUGUAUAGAGAGGUGUGAGGAGUUGUUUUCUUCUCUCCUUCACAUUUGGAACCCUAAAACACAAGCUCUCUCUCUCUCUAAACUCUCUUCUCUCUUUCUCUACAAGGGUGGAUCUAGGAGAGGGAUUGGUGGAGGUUGAGGCAAAGAGAAGACUCAUCAUCAUCUUCUUCUUCUUCUUUACCUUGGAUGUCACGUCCCGAGACUGCCAAUUUGGUCGGGUCGGGCCCGCACACAGACGCCAAACGAACAGAACCUCCACUGUUCGCCUAAGGCUCAACAACAACAACUAAACAUAUAUAAUGAAAUGCCCAGGUAAAUUCCCAAUAUACAUGGCUUACACGAAGGUAAGCAACAUCAGCAAGUGAAAGUAAACUAACUAAACCAUUCAUACAUUGUAACUUGAUUACUUUAAAUCAAAUACAAAGGUUACAUGUUAUACAUUCAUACAUUUACAUUGCCACCUCUCAGAUGAAUAAUUUACAUUUGUUUUCAUCAACUAUAAACAGAUGAAAUAUACAAGGUACAACUAUACUCAAUGGAUGUCCACUAUCUAUGGAACGCUGUCCAUACCACGGUCCUCGAUCACCCCGCACGAGCUAGAACCUGCAUGGUUAGUGGGGUGAGAACUACUGAAAGCUCCCAGUGGGUUCGGCUGCCGACCUCGCCAACUUACCCAUUAAGUCUAUUCAUAUGUAGGCAAGAAAAGUAAAUAGAUAGUAACUAGCUAUAACAUGUAAUUACUACAAUGCCUGUACAAAGCUGAAAGAAACUGUAGAUAACAUAUGAAAUUUAUGCAUGCAUGCUAUGAAUAAUCAAUACCCAAUCCAUCUGGUUAACCAUUUGGUUAACUAUAACUCACCAACGCAAUCCCUAAGUAUCGGGCUCUAAGCUGCCUCCCAACGGGAUCGUCUACUGGAAAGGCUUACACGAUCAACCCAGUUAAUGACACACUCCGAAGUGCACUGCUUGGGGGGAGCGACCACCACCAAGCCAAAACUAAAUAGGUGAGUAUGAUCCAAUCCUCCCUUAGAGGAUUCAAUAACUGACGAUGCCACAAUUUAAUUUCUAACUAGCUCUUUAUGCUAGUUUUACAGUUCCAAUAUUGAUGCUAACCAAUGCUUCUAGUCAUAAUGUCACCAAGUUUACUAUUGUUAUAGUCCACAAUAAAAUUCACACAUUCAUAGGGUUUUAGGUCCACACUCUAUGGCUCACAUGUUCUUAACACUGGAUUUGCCCAAUCCUUCAUUUCAUAAACAGAUAAUGCCAUUUACGCUAUAAUGCAUGAAUAUUAUUUUACUCCUAUACAGAUAUGCUCAAGAAGGCAACAUAGACAUAAAGAGGGAUUCGAUGACUUCGGAUAGCACCAUCCACCUGUAGGGAUGCCAAAAACUGGAAUUAACGUCUCGAACUGUAUAAGCACUAGCCCCCGCGACUCAAUGCGAGUAAAGCUAGAACGACGUCUAUCGUAAUUAGUGUGCCGUAAAUCCGUCGAAAUAUCAAUUCGAACUUUCGAGCAUGUCUAACCUUCAUUCAUAGAGGAAUAAAAGGGAUUAAACUGAAGCCAUACUUCUAUUUCACAAACUUUGCAUUUCAACUUCAACUUAUAUGUAUAAUAUCAAUAUACACUACCUAUAGUUAAUUCUAUAGGUUUCAUAGCAAGAAGAGACUCUAGUAAUCCUCUAAUUCCAUUUCUUUACAGCCACUACUUACAUUCCAAUUCAGAAUUCCAAACUAACUUAACUCAGUUUUCCCUCUUAACAUUAUGCCAUAUACAUCUUAUAUGUAUAUACAUACAUACAUACUAUACAUAGUGUAAGCUAGUUUUAUAGAGUUCCAAUUAGGAGUUAUCAAUGCAGUUUUGCAUUUCCAUUAGCUUGAAUACCCAUAGGACUCCUAAUUAGCAUCUUCUAUAACAAUUAACUGAACCUCAAUCAAGACUUAAUCAGAAUUACCUCAAUUCAUUGCUCAAUUGGCCUGUGUUCAGCUCCAACAGCAAAAAGUUCCAUCACAGCAGAAAUUUCAGCACUUCAAAUCUUCUUCACAGCCCCAUGCAGGUUAAAGUAAGUAAUUUUAAUACUUACAACUACUUUACAGCAAAGAACCUCCUUAACCAGAGAUUAACAUCCCUCUAAUUCAAAUAUUAAAGCUAUUCUAAUCCAAAUUGCUUUCCUACUAAGGUACAUAACUGAAUCUCAAUCACAAUUGGAUCAAGCCUACCUUAAUUUGAUGCUCAACCAAGUUAUUCUCAGCUUUAUCAACCUUCCUUUCAACUCAACUUGCCAACUCUACACUUUCAUCUUCACCAGCUGCCUCUCACAAUUCCUAAUUUCGAAGCUCCACUGGUCCCCUUGAAAUUCGGGCGCCCAGAUCCACAAAGGCAGCCCCUUCAACACUUCUACUUGAAUUUCUGGAUACAUAUACAUCAAUUAAACCAUUUAGAGGCUUCGUUUAUGCAAUUACCAUGAUCCCAGCUAAGAAGCCAGCCAUCUACCUCAGUUUCCAAGUUUCCCUCAGCUGAAACUUCAACUUGGCAGCUCUACCAGACCACAACACUAAGUCUGCCCGCCACUUCACCAAAUUUCAAGUCCUGACAGCCAAGAACUCUUCAUCUAAGAUAAUUAACUCAACUUUAAUCAGAUAUUGAAUCAAUUUACCUUAAUUUAGAGUUCUACCAGGUUGCUUUCAGCACCAAUAGCAUCAUCUUCCUGCUCGGCAGCUCCAACACUCCCAAACUCCCAAAGCUGUCAACUUUCUCCACCAACCACACUCAAGGGUUUAGAGAGAUAAAGAGAAGGAAAGAGAUAAGAACCAGGGAGGGAAAGAAGUGUCCUGGUACGUGGACAACUUCAGGGGACCAGGUUGUAAGUGAUAAGAAUGAAUAAUUACAAUUUAACCCCUUAAAACCCAGAAAGCGCAUUGCAGUCCAGUUAUUACACUUUAGUCCCUGCAGUUUGCACUUGGCAGCAGCUGUUUCAGCAGCAAUUUCAGCAGCAAUUACUCCUAAAUCCUCCACAAAAAUAAAAAUUACUGUUUACAAUUUGGUCCCUGCAGUUUACUGCACUUGACAGCAGCUGAAAUUGCUGUUACAAAUAGGUCCCUGCAGCUUUACAAAACAGUCCCUGCAGCUUUAGUACAAAAUUUGCACUAGCAGCAGCCUGGUAGUAGCAGUUGCAGCCCCUUUUGCGCAUCCAGUUCACCCCGAGUCCAUCUAAAUACUUCCAAAACAUGCUAAUAAACCUCCACAAGCUACUAAUUAAGCUCGGGAACAAACCAAUUUUAUUUUUGCAUUAUCUUGAUCAAGAUUAGCAAUGUAAUAGGAAACUCGACAUAUUACAAUUCCGAACAUCUCUAAAUACCUUCGAAACUCAUGAUUAACUAUCCCCAAGCCUCCAAUUUAACUCGAGAAUACCACAAUUUACAUUAUUGCUUCUCUUUGAGCAAUUGAAUCAAAGUUAACCUCAUCCUCCGAAAAUUCUCAUUCAAAUUCAUUUCGCGCACAAUUUGCGCCAAAACACUCAAUUACCGCCAGAGUUCAUUCCCACACGUCCAGAAACACUCUGGAAUGAUGCACAUCGAAUUCAAACUUUACUUUGAUCUUCCAGAUGAAAGUUAGCAUCGCAACUCAAAUUUUCAGUUUAUUAUAUAGGAGCAAGCUUUGAGGUAAGCUCUUUGCUCAUCAAUGGUAGAUUUGUAGGGUUUGGUUUAAAUACCCUAUAAAUGGAUUUAGAUGAAUCCUAGGAUGCUAGAUAGAUGUUAAUUGCUUAAAUCUAGAGUCCAAAUGGUGGAUUUUUGCAAUAGUAAGCAUCUAGGGUUCAUAAUGGGGGUUUUACUAUAUAUUGGGGUUUGAUCUCAAUUAACCCUAUAGAAACCUAAUUGCUAGGUACACGAACACGUUGGCGAAGUCAGUUCGGAGAUUCAUCGAGCCUACGCGAAGUUACGGGAAAAACGGACUGUUAGAGCUUCGUUUCCGCCUGGAAGGCCGAUGUGACGUCCAAAAAUCGCGAGAGCGGAUCCGGAGCACCGUGGCGGCUAGUUGUAGACCUUAAAUCUCCGGAUUGCAGAUUGGUGAUCGUUCGGUGGCCGAGUGCGAGUUCGAGCCGAACUGGGCGGCGGGUGCCGCGGGCUGCCGAUUGUAAGUGACUACAAGCAAUCGGAACGCGAUAACAGGUGGGUUGUGCUUACCGAAGCGACUAGGUCGCCUGCAUGUCAAAGUGGACUAUGAGUUCUUGUUGACGCAUAUGUAUAGGCAUUAUGGCAUUGUAGGGCAUGCUAGAGCAAAUAAAUAGACUGUAUGCUAGCGGAUAAUUGCAUGUGGAUGCAUUGAGAAUACACGCUAGUGCAUAGAUUCAUGUUGACAUGUACUAGAGCAUGCUAGAGCAUAUAAAUGAAUGUUAACAUAUUGUUAAUUAUAUGAGUUUAUAAGGCAUGUGAACAAUGUGAGCAUAUUGCUAGAUGAUAAUGCAUAGUGACAUAAUGAGAAAAUGCGAAAUAUAAUAUGCAUGUGGAUAACGUUGGCAUCAUAGAAUAUAUAUAUGCUAGAUUAUGUGAAUAGACAUGUGGCAUUUAAACCUAGUGUUGUGAACCUAGGUCAGAGAUGUGUGUCAUUUAACCUAGGGUCGUGAACCUAGGAUAGAUCGAGUGGCAUUGAAUCUAGUGUCAUUAACAUAGGUCGGAUAUGAACCUAGCGUCGUGAGCCUAGGAGGGAUGAGAAUGACAUAGAACCUAGUGUUAUAUAAUAUAGGUUGAGAAUGAACCUAGAGUCAGUUAGAUCUAGGUGAGUGGCAUUAACCUAGUUUAAAGAACAUAUGUUGUGGAUUGAACCUAGAGUUGAGUAAACCUAGGUUAUGUGAUAGAGGCAUUGAACCUAGAGUCAAUUGGACCUAGGGUGGAAAGUGCAUUGGACGUAGAUAGGUCGAUGUUAUAGGAUUUGAGACUACCCUAGAGACUUGGAAAGUGGAUUCCGGAAUCCCAGGAUUUGUAAACUCGAUAGUUCUAGAGCAGUGGGUUGAGUGUGGCAUGUUCCUCUUCCACUAGACGAACUUCGAGGUUGAGCUUGUGGAAGAUUCUUGGCCGCGGGUUGAGUGUGGCAUGUUCUCCUCCCACCGGAAGAAUCUUGGAUCGCUAGGGUUGAGUGUGGCAGGUUCCCCUCCCUAUCGGGGGUCUAGAGCCGCGGGUUGAGUGUGGCAUGUUCCCCUCCCGUCGGGAAGAUCCUUGACCACAGGUGUACGCAGCUCUGGGCUGGCGACCCGUUGGGCGACGUGUUUGUGGAUUAAAGGCUGAGGUGUAAGUGAGGGUUCCUUCACCUCGAGCCGGACAGAGCGCUGGUUAUCUGCAGUUGAUUGACUCGAGGUCGAGUCGGGUGGCUAGCUUGAAUAAGGUAGAUGGAACCUUAAGGGCUAAGGGUACAUAGCAUGAGCUAAGGUAAUAGAAACCUUAGAAGCUAGUUGGAUGUGAGCUAGAUAGCGACAUAGAAGUAGAAUCAGCAGAUCUACUUAUGAUAGUUGCAUUCUUGCAUAAUUUGCAUGUAGCAUGGCAUUAUUAUAUUUGUGAGGCAAAGCAUGGUAUUGUUAGUUGCAUAAUCUAGAUAUAUAUCUAUUUAUUUAUUAAACUAACCUGUUGUUGCCUCCUUUGGACCUGUUGGUCGAGCUUUUCCCUUGGGUGGUCGUACUCACUGGGAACCAUGGAGUUGGUUCUCACCCCACGUUGCUUUGGGGUGUUACAGGUUCGCAUGUGAGCGACGCGGCGGCACGAGGCAAGGGCGUAGCUUCGGAGAUAGCGCCCUACCCGAGAGACCAGAGAUAGCAGUACCCCGAGUCGGCAUAUCCUAGGGGUAUAGAGAUGAAAGGAACAAAUAUAUCAAUUUUGUAAUAGGUAAAAGUUGUAAUAACUUAGAUUGCAUUUUGGAAGAAAAAUGUAAUAUGUAAUCGUGAUGUAUAGAGCAUGUGUAUAAAUGCUUGUAACAGCUAGUUGGUUUAUGUUUUGAUACUUCCUUAUGCAAUCUGUAUGUGGAUUAUCGUUCAUGGUUGGAACUUCUUGUAUUGUAUUGAUUGCGACGCCUAGGAUGUACAGAAGAAACUUUGUCUGUUCGGCGAUCUGUCGGCGUACCGAACCCGACCAAAUAGGCGGGGCGCGGGGCGUGACAAUGAAUCUACAGGGGAAUACCCAAAUUUCUUAACAUUCAGAUUUUGGGGUAAAACCAUCAGAUGAUGGUUUUGAUCUGAGGCAUGAAUGGAUUAUAUAAGCAAAACUAUAGCAGCGAGGAGGAAUGUAACAAUAAGGAGGGUUGAGGAAUCGGCCAGGGUAGAGAAAUUAGCGACAGAUAGAUUUGAUGAGACACGAUUCCAUCUGAAACGACGAUUGAUCUGAUGAGACAUGAUCUCAUCUGAAAUGGAAAUAGGGAAGGGAUACUGCGGCGGAGAGAGGAGAGAAAAUGACCUACCGUACGAAACAAAAAGAGAGUGGGAACGACACAGCCGAGAUAGGAGAAGGAACACUCCAACGACAGGAGAAGAAGGAAUGACGUGUGGAGGGCGAGGGGAGAGGAAAUGCUCUCUUCCGUACAAAAAAUCAGAAUAGAGAGUGUAACGGUUUGAUGGAGAUGUUAUGGGGCUAGGAUGAUAGUAGCCCACUUCGGUUGAGUGCUUUUAGAUUUGUAGCCUAUGGAUGGAGGUGUUAUAGGGCUAGGAUGAUAGUUGCCCACUUGGGCUGAGUGGUGGCAGAUGAAAUAGUAUUUGAUUCAAAGGCUACUAAUAGUCAGAAGGGGUAGAUCUAAGGGCUAGAAAUCUAAAAGCACCAAUAGAUUGAUAAUUUUAGAUGUAUUAUAGCUCAACUCUCUCUCUCUCUCUCUCUCUUUCUCUCUCUCUCUCUCUCUCUCUCUAUAUAUAUAUAUCCUUGGAAUUUCCACAUCGACGUAAGAGAAAAAUCUCAAGUCCACAUCUAACGUCAUUCCAUACCUUGGGGGAUGGAGCGAAAAUGUAGCGCAGAUCUUGCGAAGUAGAUGGUGAAAAUUAAUGUCAACGCUAAUAAGCGCAUUGCUACAGUUAAAUGAAAGAUGAGGGGAUGUACAGUUCAUCACACCAAGAAAGGAGGAGCGAAGAAAAUUUUAAGGAUUGGGAUAAGAAUUCGGAGCCAACUUAUAUUAAUCUACCGUAUGGGAACAAUCUAUAAAAAAAUAUUUUUUGAUUUUGAAUUUUGAUCUAUAAUAAUUUGAAUCUAUCUAUUAUUUUCACCAAAUUUAUUUACUCAACAUGAAUAACAAAAUAUCAACACUCGCAUAUAAAUAUUUAAGGCAUAUUAUUGAAGAUUAAAUUAUCAAUAAUUCAGAAAAAAAUAAACUGUUAGAAGUUCUAUGUUGUUCGAAAAGAAACAAUUCAUGUAAGAGAGAACUAUUAACCUGACCAACCCCAGCAAGAAGGAAACGUUCAAAUUUUGAAAAUGUGAGCGUCGAUUAUUGGGGAUAAGACAAUAGCAUUUCUUAAAUAAGAAAGUAAAAAAUCAAUAUAGUAGGCAAGAUGAAUCUACAGGGGAAUGCCUAAAUUUCUUACCGUUCAAAUUUUGGGGUAAAAGCAUCAGAUUAUGGUUUUGAUCUGAGGCAUGAAUGAAUUACAUAAGCAAAACUGUAGCAGCAAGAAGGAAUGUAACAAAAGGAGUGUAGAGGAUUCGGCUAGGGCAGAGGAAUCGGCGACCAAUAGAUUGAUGAGACAUGAUACUAUUUGUAACGGUGAUAGAUUUGAUAAGACAUGAUCCCAUCUGAAACGAAAAUAGAGGAGGGAUACUGCAGUGGAGAGAGGAGGGAAAGCGACCUACCGUACGAAACGAAGAGGGAGAGGGAAUGACGUAGCCGAGAUUGUAGAAGGAAUGCUGCAACGAACAAGAAAAGAAAAAAUGACGCGCGGAGGAGGAGCGGAGAUGAAACACUCUCUUCCGUACAAAAAAAUCGGAAUAGAGAGUGUACCUGGCCAACCCUAGCAAGAAGGAAACGUCCAGAUUUUGGAAAUGUGAGCAUCGAUUCUUGGGGAUAAGACAAUAACAUUCUUAUAUAAGAAAGUAAAAAAUCGACAUAAUAGGCAAGAUGAAUCUACAGGGGAAUACCUAAAUUUCUUACCCUUCAGAUUUUGGAGUAAAUGCAUCAGAUGAUGGUUUUUAUCUGAGGCAUGAAUGGAUUAUAUAAGCAAAACUAUAGCAACGAGGAGAAAUGUAACAAUAAGAAUAGUAGAGGAAUCGGCCAGGGUAGAGGAAUCGGCGACCAAUAGAUUUGAUGAGACAUGAUGCUUUUUGAAAUAGCGAUAGAUUUGAUGAGACAUGAUCCCAUCUGAAACGAAAAUAAUUAAGAGGGGGAUACUGCUACAGAGAGAGGAGAGAAAUCGACCUAGCAAACAAAACGAAGAGGGAGUGGGAACGACGCAGCUGAGAUUGGAGAAAAAACACUGCAACGAUUAGGAGAAAAAGGAAUGACGUGCGAAGGGGGAGCGGAGAGGAAACGGUCUCUUCCGUACAAAAAAAUCGGAAUAAAGAGUGUAGCGGUUCAAUGGAGUUGUUAUUGGGCUAGGAUGAUAGUAGCCACUUGGGUUGAGUGGAUGGAGGUGUUAUAGGGCUAGGAUGAAAGUAGCCCACAUGGGUUGAGUGGUGGUAGGUAAAAUAGUAUUUGAUCAAAGGGCCACCAAUAGUCAAAGUGGUAGAUCUAAGGGCUAGAAAUCUAAAAGCACUAAAAGAUUAGUACUUUUACAUGUAUUAUAGCUCAACUCUCUCUCUCCCCCUUCUCUCUCUCUCUCUAUAUAUAUAUCCUUGGAAUUUUCACAUCGACAUAAGAGCAAAAUCUCAAGUCUGCAUCUAACGUCAUUCCGUACUUUGGAGGAUGAAGUGAAAAUUUAGCACAGAUCUUGCGGAGUAGACGGUGAGGAUUAUUGUCAACGCUAAUAGGCGCCGCCAUUGCUGCAGUUAAAUGAAAGAUAAAGGGAAGUGCAGUUCAUCACUCUAAGAAAAGAGGAGUGAAGAAAAUUCUAAGAAUUGGGAUAAGAAUUUGGAGCCGACUAAAAUAAAUCUACCGGAAGAGAACAAUCUAUAAAAAAUUAUUUUUUGAUUUUGAAUUUAGAUCUAUAACAUUUGAACCUAUCAAUCAUUUUCAUCAAAUUUAUUUACUUAACAUGAACAACAAAAUAUCAACACUCGCAUAUAAAUCUUAAAGGCAUAUUACUGAAGAUUAAAUUAUCUAUCAAUCUAGAAAAUAAUAAACUGUUAGAAGUUCUAUAUUGUUCGAAAAGGAACAAUUCAUGUUAGAGAGAACUAUUAACCUGUCCAACCCUAGCAAGAAGGAAACGUCCAUAUUUUGGAAAUAUGAGCGUCGAUUCUUGGCGAUAAGAUAAUAUCAUUCUUAUAUAAGAAAGUAAAAAAUCGAUAUAGUAGGCAAGAUGAAUCUACAGGGGAAUACCUAAAUUUCUUACCGUUCAGAUUUUGGGGUAAAAGCAUUAGAUGAUGGCUUUGAUCUGAGGCAUGAAUGGAUUAUAUAAGCAAAACUGUAGCAGCGAGGUGGAAUGUAACAAUAAGGAGGGUUGAGGAGUCGACACAUGUAGAGAAAUCAGCGACCGAUAGAUUUGAUGAGACAUGAUCCCAUCUAAAACGACAUAGAUUUUAUGAGACACGAUCCCAUCAGAAACGAAAAUAGGGAAGGAAAACGGCGGCGGAGAGAGGAGAGAAAAUGACCUGCCGUACGAAAUGAAUGGGGAGUGGGAACGACACAGCUGAGAUAGGAGAAGGAACACUACAACGAACAGGAGAAGAAGGAAUGACGCAUGGAGGGGGACCGGAGAGGAAAACACUCUCUUCCAUACAAAAAAUCGAAAUAGAGAGUGUAGCGAUUCGAUGGAGGUGUUAUAGGGCUAGGAUGAUAGUAGUCCACUUGGGUUGAGUGCUUCUAGAUUUGUAGCCUAUGGAUGGAGGUGUUAUAGGGCUAGGAUGAUAGUUGCCCACUUGGGUUAAGUGGUGGCAAGUGAAAUAGUAUUUGAUUCAAGGGCUCCUAAUAGUUAAAGGGGUAGAUCUAAGGGCUAGAAAUCUACAAGCACUAAUAGAUUGAUACUUUUAGAUGCAUUAUAGCUCAACUCUCUCUCUCUCUCUCUCUCUCUCUCUCUCUAUAUAUAUAUAUAUAUAUAUAUAUAUAUAUAUAUAUAUAUCCUUGGAAUUUUCACAUCGACGUAAGAGCAAAAUCUCAAGUCCGCAUCUAAUGUCAUUCCGUACCUUGGAGGAUGGAGCGAAAAUUUAGCGCAGAUCUUGCGGAGUAGACGGCGAAAAUUAUUCCAACGCUAAUAGGCGCUGCCAUUGCUGCAGUUAAAUGAAAGAUAAGGGGAAGUACAGUUCAUCACUCUAAGAAAGGGGGAGUGAAGAAAAUUCUAAGGAUUGGGAUAAGAAUUUGGAGCCGACAAAUAUUAAUCUACCGUAAGAGAACAAUCUAUAAAAAAAUAUUUUUUGAUUUUGAAUUUAGAUCUAUAAUAAUUUGAAUCUAUCAAUCGUUUUCAUUAAAUUUAUUUACUCAGCAUGAAUAACAAAAAAUCAACAAUCGCAUAUAAAUAUUUAAGGCAUAUUAUUGAUGAUCAAAUUAUCAAUCAAUCUAGAAAAUAAUAAACUAUUAGAAGGUCUAUAUUGUUAAAAAAGAAACAAUUCAUGCAAGAGAGAACAAUUAACCUGGCCAACCCUAGCAAGAAGGAAACGUCCAGAUUUUGGAAAUAUGCAUCGAUUCUUGGGGAUAAGACAAUAGCAUUCUUAUAAUAAGAAAGUAAAAAUCGAUAUAGUUGGCAAGAUGAAUCUACAGGGGAAUACCUAAAUUUCUUACCCUUCAGAUUUUGGAGUAAAAGUAUCAGAUGAUGGUUUUUAUCUGAGGCAUGAAUGGAUUAUAUAAGCAAAACUGUAGCAGCGAGGAGGAAUGUAACAGUAAGGAGAGUAGAGGAAUCAACCAGAGUAGAGGAAUCGGCAACCGAUAGAUUUGAUGAGACAUGAUCCCUUCUGAAACAGUGAUAGAUUUGAUGAGACACGAUGUAACACACUGGACCUUUGCAAAUUGCAAGGUUCGAGUGUUUGAACUGUGUUCUGAGUUUUUUCAGAUUUUCUGGUGGGUCGUUGACAGUGUUCCGACCUAUGGCUCGUAUCCCGAGAUUUGUAGUAUUUCAUGUAGCGCUAAGGUCACCAAAGAGAUGGACUUAGGCUACCCUCGGAUUGCAUUCUGCACACUGUGUAACCGGUGACAAGUCGAUGGCUGUACCGGUACAGAUUUUGUACCGGUACACUUUGAUGGUUGUACCGGUACAGUUGUGCCGAAUUUCAAACCCGAGGCUCGGGUUUGUUGUCUCGCCUGAUUUGUACCGGUACACUCUCCCGUGUACCGGUACACUUUGGCAGAACUGCAAAACUGCAGUUUUUCAGGGUUGUAAUUGCAUUGUAGCAAUUCUAUAUCAGCCCCCACACCCUCUAGGGCUUUCCCUGAGCUGAGAACACUUGAGAGGAAGGUAAGGGAGCCCUCCAUCCCUUCUCCUUGAUUUUGUUGGGAUUUUUGAAGUUUAAUUGCUUCAUUUAGCUUCUUUUUGCAUCUUGGUGGCCUUUCCACCUUGGUAGAGGCUUGGAGCUUGGGUUUGGGGCUCGCUUGAGGAAAGAUCCUUGAACCUAGAGGACUUUGAUCCCUGUUUGAAGCUUCAAAGAGGUUAACAUCUUGUUCUUUCCCUCUAGAUUUGGUUUUCGGAGGUUUUCUUGAGAUGAAACCCUAGAAUGGAAUUUUAGGGUUGAUUUUAGGCAUUUUGAUUUUAGGGCUUUUAGAGCUCAUCUAAUUGGAUUAGAACCUUGAUUUAGGUUGCUUUGGAAGGGAUUUAGCUUCCAUUUGAGCUUGGGAGAGGGAUUUUUACACUAUAGAUGAGAUUUUUGGCCCUUUUGCCUAGUAGGUUAAUGUUUGAGCUAGUAGUUGUUCGUUUACUUCUUGUAGCUCACUUUUUGAUGCUUCUAGGGUGCUAGGAGCUUAGUGGACACCUUCGUUGGAGCAAACGAAGGGUUGCGCGUCGUUCGGUGGGUUUGACCUAGCCUAAAAUAUGAGAAAUUCUCAUAUCUGAUGUUUUAUGCUUCGUAAAGUAGAAAUUCAUACAUUUUCAUUAUAAAUGUAUUUAUUGAGAAUUUUAGAAUGCUUAACAUGUCUAUGUUAUGUGUAAUAAAUUUUCGAAUCUCUAUGUAGUAGAGAGUUUGCAUGUGGGCUUAUGUUGCAUUCAGCAUUCUUGUGUGGGCUUUGGGAUCACAUUCCUAUCGUAGAAACGAACAUUGUUUUCAUGCAUUUAAACCUAUGCCUAAUUGAGACAUAAGGAAUCUAAGUAAGCCAUGAAGAGGCUUGGGGACUGGUACUACUUGAGAAUAAUUGGGCUAAUGUCGUUAAGCGACAUUGAGCUCGAGUCAUGUAUGAACCAAGUGUUAAUGUCAUAAUUGGAACAUAGAAAUAAAAUGUGCUUAACUUAUAGCAUGCUUAAGUGUUAUAAAGAGACACUAAGCAAGGUGAGUGUUGGAACAUCACAUUGAGAUUUUGAUCUAGACCGAUGGAUUACCAGUGCUACUACCAUGUUAGAGACAUGAUAAUUGGAUACUUGAGCUAUUGACUACGCUUGUUUGCCAUUUUGGUCUAUUUCCGAAGUGAUGUGGAUCAUGAGGAACACUUGAGACUUGUACUUCAAGUGCUUCGGAAAAGGAAGCUCUAUGCCAAAUUAAAAAAGUUUGAGUUUUGGGUUAGAGAGGUGGCGUUUUUGGGCCAUUUGAUUUUCGGAUCGCGUAUAGCCGUGGAUCCGAGAAAAAUUGAAGCUAUCAAGGAUUGGCCGAGGCCGACGAGCGUCACGGAGAUUCGGAGCUUUCUGGGUCUGGCCGGCUACUACCGACGGUUUGUUGAGGGAUUUGCAAAGUUAUCUACUCCCCUCACGAGGCUCGCGUAUAAAGGCAAAAGUUCAUUUGGAACGAUGCGUGUGAAAAGAGCUUUUAAGAGCUGAAGCAGAGAUUGACUACCGCUCGGAUCCUAACCUUGCCGAUUGCUGGAGCAGGGUAUGUGAUUUAUAGCGAUGCUUCUUUUAAUGGAUUGGGUUGCGUUUUGAUUCAGGACGGAAAAGUGAUCGCGUAUGCUUCUCGCCAAUUGAAGGAGUAUGAGAGGAAUUAUCCUACUCACGACUUAGAGUUGGCGGCCGUAGUCUUUGCCUUGAAGCUAUGGCGCUAUUAUCUUUACGGUGAACGGUGCAAAGUGUUUACCGAUCACAAGAGCUUAAAGUAUUUAUUCACUCAGAAGGAGUUGAAUUUGAGGCAGCGCAGAUGGUUUGAGCUUCUUCAAAGAUUAUGAUUUGACGAUUCUUUACCACCUGGGCAAGACUAACGUGGUGGCGGAUGCGCUAAGUCGGAAAUCGAUGAAAAACUUAGCGAUGCUUGUGGUUACUCAACCGCCGUUGAUCGAGCAGAUGAAGCGGUUGGAGUUGGAGGUGGUGACUCUUGAUACACCUUUGAGGUUGAUAGCUUUGGUGGUGCAACCUACCCUUUUGGAUAGAAUUCAAGAAAAGCAAGCUCAUGAUGUGGAGUUGCAAAGGCUUAGAGCUAAAAUGGUUGACGGUUGCACUGGUGACUUUACUGUGGACGGUGAUGGAUUGAUGCGUUUUCGCGGACGGUUGUGUGUACCGGCGAAUUUGGGUAUUAAAGAAGAUAUUCUUCAAGAAGCACACCGUGUACCUUAUGCGAUUCAUCCGGGAGGCACCAAGAUGUACAAGGACUUGAAGUUGCUUUAUUGGUGGCCCGGGAUGAGAAAGGAUAUUGGUGAGUUUGUUGCUAGAUGUCUAACUUGCCAACAGGUGAAAGCUGAGCAUCGAGUCCCCGCAGGGAAAUUGCAGAGCUUACCUAUUCCAGUGUGGAAGUAGGAGAAGAUCACCAUGAAUUUCGUGAUGGGAUUGCCUCGCUCAUAGGCCGGGCAUGAUGCUAUUUGGGUGAUCGUGGAUAGGUUGACGAAAUCGGCUCAUUUUAUACCUAUUCAUACUACUUGGACUGGUGAGAGACUCGCACAGGUAUAUCUUGACGAGAUUGUGCGAUUGCACGGGAUACCUACUUCUAUAGUUUCGGAUCAAGAUCCCCGUUUUGUAUCUCAUUGUUGGAGGAGUUUACAGGAUGCCUUGGGCACGCGUUUGGAUUUCAGUACAGCUUUCGACCCUCAGAGUGACGGGCAGUCAGAGCGCACUAUACAGACUCUUGAGGAUAUGCUUCGAGCCUGUGUGAUCGACUUCCAGGGCGGAUGGUCGCAGCAUCUAUCGAUGGCGGAGUUUACUUAUAACAAUAGUUAUCAAGCAAGCAUCCAGAUGGCACCUUUCGAGGCACUUUAUGGACGGAAGUGUAGAUCGCCACUUCACUGGAGUGAAGUUGGCGAGAGAUUGGCUUUAGGCCUGAUGUGCUCCAGGAAGCAGAGGACAAGAUUCGCAUCGCUCGGGAGCGACUGUUGACAGCCCAGAAUAGGCAAAAGAGUUAUGCUGACAAGCGUCGACGAGACUUGGAGUUUCGGAUUGCUGAUCAUGUCUUUUUGAAAGUCUCGCUGACCAAGGGAAUUAGAAGAUUUGGUAUCUGGGGUAAGUUGAGUCCCCGAUACAUUGGACCGUAUGAGAUUUUGGAACGUGUGGGCCCGGUAACAUAUCGACUUGCUCUACCACCGAACCUAUCGGGUGUACACAAUAUUUUUCAUGUAUCGGUCCUCCGGAAGUACAUCCACGAUCCGGCUCAUGUGUUGGACGCUAUACCCUUGGAGCUGAGGGACGAUUUGAGAUUUGAAGAGCAACCUUUGAGGAUUUUGGCUCGCGAGGUAAAGAGGCUGCGGAACCAUGAGAUUCCCUACGUGAAAGUGCUUUGGAGCAACCACGAUGAACGCGAGGCCACUUGGGAGUUGGAGAGCACACUGCAGUAGCGCUAUUCUCAUCUUUUUCAGAUUGAGGCUUGAGGUAUUUCGUCUUUUGAGUUUCGCGGACGAAACUCCUUUUUAGGAGGGGUGAAUGUAACACACUGGACCUUUGCAUAUUGCGAGGUUCGAGUGUUUGAACUGUGUUUUGAGUUUUUCCAGAUUUUCUGGUGGGUCGUUGACAGUGUUCUGACCUAUGGCUCGUAUUACGAGAUUUGCAGUAUUUCAUGUAGCGCUAAGGUCACCAAAGAGAUGGACUUAGGCUACCCUCGGAUUGCAUUCUGCACACUGUGUAACCGGUGACAAGUCGAUGGCUGUACCGGUACAGAUUUUGUACCGGUACACUUGUGCCGAAUUUCAAACCCGAGGCUCGGGUUUGCUGUCUCGCGGGAUUUGUACCAGUACACUUUCCUGUGUACCGGUACACUUUGGCAGAACUGCAAAACUGCAGUUUUUCAGGGGUGUAAUUGCAUUGUAGCAAUUCUAUAUCAGCCCCCACACCCUCUAGGGCUUUCCCUGAGCUGAGAACACUUGAGAGGAAGGUAAGGGAGCCCUCCAUCCCUUCUCCUUGAUUUUGUUGGGAUUUUUGAAGUUUAAUUGCUUCAUUUAGCUUUUUUUUGCAUCUUGGUGGCCUUUCCACCUUGGUAGAGGCUUGGAGCUUGGAUUUGGGGCUCGCUUGAGGGAAAAUCCUUGAACCUAGAGGACUUUGAUCCCUGUUUGAAGCUUCAAAGAGGUUAGCAUCUUGUUCUUUCCCUCUAGAUUUGGUUUUCGGAGGUUUUCUUGAGAUGAAACCCUAGAAUGGAAUUUUAGGGUUGAUUUUGGGCAUUUUGAUUUUAGAACUUUUAGAGCUCAUCUAAUUGGAUUAGAACCUUGAUUUAGGUUGCUUUGGAAGGGAUUUAGCUUCCAUUUGAGUUUGGGAGAGGGAUUUUUACACUAUAGGUGAGAUUUUUGGCCCUUUUGUCUAGUAGGUUAAUGUUUGAGCUAGUAGUUAUUCGUUUACUUCUUGUAGCUCACUUUUUGAUGUUUCUAGGGUGCUAGGAGCUUAGUGGACACCUUCGCUGGAGCAAACGAAGGGUUGCGCGUCGUUCGGUGGGUUUGACCUAGCCUAGAAUAUGAGAAAUCCUCAUAUCCGAUAUUUUAUGCUUCGUAAAGUAGAAAUUCAUACAUUUCCAUGAUAAAUGUAUUUAUUGAGAAUUUUGGAAUGCUUAACAUGCCUAUGUUAUGUGUAAUAAAUUUUCGGACCUCUAUAUAGUAGAGAGUUUGUAUGUGGGCUUAUGUUGCAUUCAGCAUUCUUGUGUGGGCUUUGGGAUCACAUUCCUAUCGUAGAAACGAACGUUGUUUUCAUGCAUUUAAACCUAUGCCUAAUUGAGACAUAAGGAAUCUAAGUAAGCCAUAAAGAGGCUUGGGGACUGGUACUACUUGAGAAUAAUUGGGCUAAUGUCAUUAAGCGGCAUUGAGCUCGAUUCAUGUAUGAACCAAGUGUUAAUGUCAUAAUUGGAACAUAGAAAUGAAAUGUGCUUAACUUAUAGCUUGCUUAAGUGUCAUAAAGAGACACUAAGCAAGGUGUGUAUUGGAACAUCACAUUGAGAUUUUGAUCUAGACCGAUGGGUUACCAGUGCUACUACCAUGUUAGAGACAUGAUGAUUGGAUACUUGAGCUAUUGACUACGCUUGUUUGCCAUUUGUGCUCAUUCGCACAUACUUGUGAGGGUCGCUCCCUACAAGCUGGCACUCUAGAGUUCGCCUACGCGACUUAUGUUCGCUCGUGCGGUAUCGAGAAACCUAUGGGGUCGGGUGGGAUAGACUCAUUUUCAGAGUGGGAAUGCUGGAGCUACCACCGACACUUAGGCGGUACAAGCUGGACUACAGUUGUGUAGGUCACAAAUGAGAUUAAACCGUGACAUCAACUUACAAAGGUUAAUCACUACUAGAUAGGGUAAAGUAGUUGGAUACUUGGGCAUGCUUACCGCAUAGUGGUGGAUAAUGAGAUAGACUCAUAGUAUGCUUGAUAGCAUUACUCAUUACAUCUUAGUAUGCUUGUUGCCAUCAUAAAACAUUCGAGCUAUGCAUUGGGCUUAUUUCAUCUUGAUAGAAUGGUUACAUAUCAUAUAUCCUGUGGCACAGUAGUAUUGCAUUUCAUACAUGCUUUCAAUUCAGCAGCUUAUUAUUAUUUAAUAUUAUUGUUACUUACCCUUUUCUUUGGGCCUAGUGGUGUAUUGUGCUGAGGUCAGUAAUUGCCCACUGGGAACUAUAAAUUAUAGUUCUCACGUCCUCUGUUUCAUGUUUCUAUUUCAGAGCCUUCCACUCCGGGCGAGGUUAGGGACCGCGGAAAGGGUAUCGCCACGAGCUAGCUUGUGAGCGAGGGAUGUUCGAUAGGUGGUCCACCUCUUCUUUGUUCUCUUUUUAGGAGAGGAUGAGAGUUGUACCUUGUAUAGAGACCACCCCAUUUUGGAUUUCUUUCCUUUUUGUAGUGCUUUUGUGAUAACUCUUGUACUUACUUUAUCUUUAUGUUUAGUAGUUACUUUCUUCUUUCUCUACUUGUUUUUAGUUGUUAGCUGUUAGUAGCUUUGAUAUCUCUAGUGACUUUAUUCUUCUUGCUUCCAUAUCUCUUUUGUUGUAGACGCCUUAUAUGUGCAGGCAUAUGGCGGGUCUGGGCAUGUACCGGGCGGGCCUAUGCCGGGUCCCGGGGCGUGACACACGAUCCCAUCUGAAAUGAAAAUAAAGGAGGGAUACUGUGACAGAGAGAGGAGAGAAAACGACCUAGAGUAUGAAACAAAGAAGGAGAGGGAACGACGUAGCCAAGAUUGGAGAAGGAACGCUGCAAUGAACAGGAGAAAAAGAAUUGGCGUGCGGAUGGGGAAUGGUUUCUUCCGUACAAAAAAAAAUGGAAUAAAGAGUGUAGCAGUUUGACAGAGGUGUUAUCGGGCUAGGAUGAUAGUAGCCCAUUUGGGUUGAGUGCUUUUAGAUUUGUAGCCUAUGGAUGGAGGUGUUAUAGGGCUAGAAUGAUAGUAGCCCACAUGGGUUGAGUGGUGGUAGGUGAAAUAGUAUUUGAUCCAAGGGCCAUUAAUAAUCAAAGUGGUAGAUCUAAGGGCUAGAAACCUAAAGACACUAAAAGAUUGGUAAUUUUACAUGUAUUAUAGCUUAACUCUCUCUCUCUCUCCCCCCCUCUCUCUCUCUCUCUCUAUAUAUCCUUGGAAUUUCCACAUCGAAGUAGGAGCAAAAUCUCAAGUCCGCAUCUAACGUCAUUUCGUAUCUUAGAGGAUGAAGCAAAAAUUUAGCACAAAUCUUGCGGAGUAGACGGCGAAAAUUAUUCCAACGCUAAUAGGCGCUGCCAUUGCUGCAGUUAAAUGAAAGAUAAGGGGAAGUACAGUUCAUCACUCUAAGAAAGGGAGAGUGAAGAAAAUUCUAAGGAUUGGGAUAAGAAUUUGGAGCCGACUAAUAUUAAUCUACCAUAAGUGAACAAUCAUAAAAAAUUAUUUUUUGAUUUUGAAUUUAGAUCUAUAACAAUUUGAAUCUAUCAAUCAUUUUCAUCAAAUUUAUUUACUCAACAUGAACAACAAAAUAUCAACAGUCGCAUAUAAAUAUUUAAGGCAUAUUAUUGAAGAUUAAAUUAUCUAUCAAUCUAGAAAAUAAUAAACUGUUAGAAGUUCUAUGUUGUUCGAAAAGGAACAAUUCAUGUAAGAGAGAACUAUUAAGCUGUCCAACCCUAGCAAGAAGUAAACGUCCAGAUUUUGGAAUUGUGGGCGUCGAUCCUUGGGGAUAAGAUAAGAAAGUGAAAAAUCGAUAUAGUAGGCAAGAUGAAUCUACAGCGGAAUACCUAAAUUUCUUACCGUUCAGAUUUUGGGGUAAAAGCAUCAGAUGAUGAUUUUGAUCUGAGGUAUGAAUAGAUUAUACAAGCAAAACUGUAGCAGCGAGGAGGAAUGUAACAAUAAGGAGGGUUGAGGAAUCGGUCAGGGUAGAGAAAUCAGCGACCGAUAGAUUUGAUGAGACACGAUCCCAUAUGAAACGAAAAUAGGGGAGGGAAAUUGCGGCGGAGAGAGAAGAGAAAACGACGUACCAUACGAAACAAAGAGGGAGUGGGAACGACGCAGCCGAGAUAGGAGAAGGAACACUGGAACGAACAGGAGAAGAAGGAAUGACGCGUGGAGGGCGAGCAGAAAGGAAACGCUCUCUUCCGUACAAAAAAUCGUAAUAGAGAGUGCAGCAGUUCGAUGGAGAUGUUAUAGGGCUAGGAUGAUUGUAGUCCACUUGGGUUGAGUGCUUUUAGAUUUGUAGCCUAUAGAUGGAGGUGUUAUAGGUCUAGGAUGAUAGUUGCCCACUUGGGAUGAGUGGUGGCAGGUGAAAUAGUAUUUGAUUCAAGGGCUACUAUUAAGGGCUAGAAACCUAAAAGUACCAAUGGGUUGAUACUUUUAGAUGUACUCUAGCUCAACUCUCUCUCUCUCUCUCUCUCUCUCUCUCUCUCUCUCUAUAUAUAUAUAUAUAUAUAUAUAUCUCCUUGGAAUUUCCACAUCGACGUAAGAACAAAAUCUCAAAUCCGCAUCUAACGUCAUUCCGUACCUUGGGGGAUGAGGCGAAAAUUUAGCGCAAAUCUUGCGGUGUAGACGGCGAAAAUUAUUGUCAACGCUAAUAGGCGCCUUGCUGCAGUUAAAUGAAAGAUGAGGAUACGUACAAUUCAUCACACCAAGAAAGGAGGAGCGAAGAAAAUUCUAAGGAUUGGGAUAAGAAUUUGGAGCCGACUAAUGUUAAUCUACAGUAAAAGAACAAUCUAUAAAAAAUUAUUUUUUGAUUUUUAAUUUAGAUCUAUAACAAUUUGAAUCUAUCUAUUAUUUUCAUUAAAUUUAUUUAUUCAGCAUGAAUAACAAAAUAUCAACACUCGCAUAUAAAUAUUUUAGGCAUAUUAUUGAAGAUUAAAUUAUCAAUCAAUCCAGAAAAAAAUAAACUGUUAGAAGUUCUAUGUUGUUCGAAAAGAAACAAUUCAUGUAAGUGAGAACUAUUAACCUAGUGAACCCUAGCAAGAAGGAAAUGUCCAGAUUUUGAAAAUGUGAGCGUCGAUUCUUGGGGAUAAGACAAUAGGAUUUCUUAAAUAAGAAAGUAAAAAUUCGAUAUAGUAGGCAAGAUGAAUCUACGGGGGAAUACCUAAAUUUCUUACCGUUCAGAUUUCGGGGUAAAAGCAUCAGAUGAUGGUUUUGAUCUGAGGUAUGAAUGAAUUACAUAAGCAAAACUGUAGUAGCGAGGAGGAAUGUAACAGUAAGGAAGGUAGAGGAAUCGGCCAGGGCAGAGAAAUCGGCGACCAACAGAUUUGAUGAGACAUGAUCCCAUCUGUAACGGUGAUAGAUUUGAUGAGAUAUGAUCCCAUCUGAAACGAAAAUAGAUGAGGGAUACUGCGACGGAGAGAGGAGGGAAAGAGACCUACCGUACGAAACGAAGAGGGAGAGGGAACGACGUAGACGAGAUAGGAGAAAGAAUGCUGCAACGAACAGGAGAAGAAGGAAUGAUGCGCGGAGGAGGAGCGGAGAUGAAACGCUCUCUUCCGUACAAAAAAAGCAUAAUAGAGAGUGUAAUGGUUCGAGGGAGGUGUUAAAGGGCUGGGAUGAUGGUACCCCACUUGGAUUGAAUGCUUUUAGAUUUGUAGCCUAUGGAUGGAGGUAUUAUAGGUCUAGGAUGAUAGUAGCCCACUUGUGUUGAGUGGUGGUAGGAGAAAUAGUAUUUGAUCCAAGGGCUAUUAAUAGUCAAAAGGGUAGAUCUAUAGGCUAGAAACCUAAAAGCAAUCGAUUGGCACUUUUAGAUGUAUUAUAGCUCAACUCUCUCUCUCUCUCUCUCCCCUCUCUUUCGCUAUAUAUGUAUAUCCUUGGAAUUUCCACAUCGACGUAAGAGCAAAAUCUCAAGUCCGAAUCUUACGUCAUUCCGUACCUUGGAGGAUGGAGCGAAAAUUUAAGGCAGAUCUUGCGGAGUAGACGGCGAAAAUUAUUUCAACGCUAAUAGGUGCCGUCAUUGCUGCAGUUAAAUGAAAGAUAAGGGGAAGUACAGUUCAUGUCACGCCCCGCGACCGCCAAUUUGGUCGGUCCUAGCACGUCGAACAGACGCUGAACGGACAUAGCCUCCCCUGUCCGCCCAAGGCUAAACAAAAGCAAUCAUGUACAAGAGUUACCCAGGAUAAACUCAAUUAACAUACAUGAUAAAAUGAAGCACCACAAGUGCUAUACCAACAAGAGCAAGAUACAAGUAAAUAUACAAGCGCAUAAAAGAGAGACAAUCUAGCUAUUACAUCCACAUGGCAUUUACAUUUACAACUUUAAAUUUACAUUUGCAUCUCACCAAAACGAAUACAAGUUCAUUUAGAUACAUAUCUAUCUCACAUGCAUAGUACUCCCCAAAAUACAUUCUCUACUAGUCAUGUACACGAGGGUACUCUAAUGCAAAAUAGAAGCUGCUAGCUAACUAGGGCGCUAUGCCCUUAUCACGGUCCUCUGCCGGCACGCUCUCGCUAGGCCCUGCAACAAAGUGGGGUGAGAACUAUAUAAAUAUAAUUUUCAGUGGGUUUGGCCGCCGACUCCGCUGAUCUUUCCACUAGGUCUAAGCAGGCAUAAGCAACAGACAGAUAGAUAGGUAUGAAAAGAGCUGCUAUAUAGUAAUGGAAUACAUACAUGCUACUAUGCCUCUGAAAUCAUGAAAUGCAUGAACAUAGCAAUGAUAUUCUACUAAUCAUGAUACUAUGUCUCAAUAUACAAAUGUGUGAGCUACUACAUAGGAUAUACUCUACAACAUGCACUAUGUCUCAAUAUACAAAUGUGUGAGCUACUACAUAGGAUGUACUCUACAACAUGCACUAUGUCUCAAUAAUAAAAGAAAUGAGCUACUACAUAGUAUGAAUCUAUAACAUGAUACUAUGCCUCUAAUAAUCCAAAUGAACGAGCUGCUACAUAGUGCGUCGUGCUACUAUGCCUCGAUAAUCAAAUCUCAUCUCGGCUAACCCGAAGGUUACUACCGACUCAUGGCUAACCCGAAGGUUACUGCCAACUCACAUCUCAAAUCUUGCUAGUGGGGAGACUCUACGCUACACCCACCCGAAACCCGUCUGCUGGGAAGUAUAUUACCCAAACACGACAUCUACUUCGAGGUCACUAUUUGAGUGAAGCGACCACGCCAAGGUUACACAGACUAUGCGAGUAUGAUCCAAUUUCCUCACUAGGGAAUACCCUAUCUACUAGGGCCACAGUGCCUCAACUGCACUAAUUCUAAAUGCAUAAUGUCCACAACACGACAAUCGGGAAACCUACUAUCCCUAGGUUCAAAUGCCAUAGUGUUCAACUACACUAGAUUUGAUGCCACUCAUUAUGUCAUGAUGUUGUAAGUGUCUCACUACACUAAGUUCACAUGCCACUCGUUCAUGUUAUAGUGUCUUUACUACACUAGUCCAAAUGCCACUCAUCUAGGCCAUUUACAUGUCUAAGUUCAUCUUUUUAUGCCACUAUAGGACUCCAUGUCACAAGACCCAAUCCUUAUGCAUCCCUAGUCUAUGUGUCAAGCCCACAAUGCUACACUACUAAGAAGGCAUGCAAGGAAAUAGAAAUGCAACCAUCUACUAAUCCUAUAAUGCAUAAUGUCAAUAUAUGAUCAAUAUAUAUAACUUAGAUAUAAAAAGAAACCCGGUUGCUUCGGGAUGGACACCCCCACCUUCUGGUGAUGCCACGAAGCUAAGUUCCAACUUUCGUAAUUUUCCGUCGCCUAUCUCUCUCGACUGCGGCAAACGAAGCAAAAAAUAGGCUUUUCUUUAAUAUCUUCGCGCCAACUCGUCGGAUCGCCGAACCGAGUUCACCAAUGCGCUCGACUACCAAGCAAUCAGGUAUAAAAGAGAUCAAUCCCAAUCCAAGAUCUCAACUUUACAAAACCCUCUUUCGGAACCCUAGAUAUUAAAUCUUACGAGAAUCGGCGAUAAAAUCCCUCGAUUCAAGCAAUAAACACUUAUCUAGUGUCCAAGGGUCCUACUAAAACCAUUUCUAGAGAAAAAGAUUCACACCCUAGAAAUCUACCAUCAAAGCUUCAAAAGCUUACCUCUCCACGAGCUCCCCCACGCCGAGGAAGAAGAUGUCGAAGACGAAGAUCGACUACCUCGCUUUGAUCUCCACCAACCCCUCCUCUUGUCUCUACCCUUGAGAGCUUCUAGAGAGAAAAAAAGAGAAAAAUAGGUGAAGGGAGGUGUUCUCUAGCUGUGAAGGGUGAUGGGGUAUAUUUAUAGACUGCCACAAUUGCAGAAAAGCCCCUCAACAACUAACAUUUGCAACAUACUGCAUUCUGCAGUUUUCUGCACUUGGUAACGGUACCAGGGAAUUUGUCACCGGUUACACGACUACGCAGAGGCCAACCUGAGAGCUGCUGCUCUUGGUCAGCUACGAGGUACCGGUACCACCUCGAUGUUGUACCGAUACCAAAUCCCCGGACUGGAGUUUUAGCACUUGUUCAACAUCUGUUUUGUGCCGAGCAAUGCUAAAACCUCUCUAACUCCUCUGGAACUCAACUUUGACCCUUCCAACACCUUUGGAAUGUCAAAUGGAACAUGUUCAUCAUCCUUCUUACCACGCUUUGGUCACUUUGACCAAAAGUGGACUAUUACUACGAGGAUACGAUAUCUUACAGUUCAUCACUCUAAGAAAGAGAGAGUAAAGAAAAUUCUAAGGAUUGUGAUAAGAAUUUGGAGCCGACUAAUAUUAAUCUACCGUAAGAGAACAAUCUAUAAAAAAAAUAUUUAUUGAUUUUAAAUUUAGAUCUAUAACAAUUUGAAUGUAUCAAUCAUUUUCAUCAAAUUUAUUUACUCAACAUAAACAACAAAAUAUCAACACUCGCAUAUACAUAUUUAAGGCAUAUUAUUGAAGAUUAAAUUAUCAAUCAAUCUAGAAAAUAAUAAACUGUUAGAAGUUUUAUAUUGUUCAAAAGGGAACAAUUCAUGCAAGAGAGAACUAUUAACCUGGCCAACCCUAGCAAGAAGGAAACGUCCAGAUUUAGAAAAUGUGAGCAUCGAUUCUUGGGGAUAAGACACUAGCAUUCUUAUAUAAGAAAGUAAAAAUCGAUAUAGUUGGCAAGAUGAAUCUACAAGGGAAUACCUAAAUUUCUUACCUUUAAGAUUUUGGAGUAAAAGUAUCAGAUGAUGCUUUUUAUCUGAGGUAGGAAUAGAUUAUAUAAGCAAAACUGUAGCAGCGAGGAGAAAUGUAACAGUAAGGAGAGUAGAGGAAUCGGGCAGGGUAGAGGAAUCCGCUACCAAUAGAUUUUAUGAGACAUGAUCCCAUCUGAAAUGAAAAUAAGGGAGGGAUACUGCGACAGAGAUGUUAGAAAAUUGCGUACAGUAAAAACGCAGCGGAAAAAGAAUCAAACAAAUUUGAUUUUGAAAACUCUCGAGAUCCAAUCUCAAAAACCACGCAAUUAGAAUCCCUCUUGUUCUUUAAGAUUAAAGAAGAAAAGUAAGAUCGAAUCUUUACCUUUUUCGCGGAUAAAUUUUCGCCUCAAUUUGAUGAUCGUGGAAUUGGGUUCUCUUGAAGCUGCACAUGCGUCCGGCCUCUAUAGGUAUCCACACGAGGUUGAUGAUUUGAUCGAUAUCCUCACCAGGGUGCUAGCUCCCUUGCAAAGGACGUCUUUCUUGCUAGAAUAUGGAAGAGAGAGGAGAAGAGAGAUGACGGCUAGGGUUUUCCAAAAACCCCCGUAUAUUAUAUAUAGGAAUAUAAUCCUAUUCCUAAUAAUAUAAUGACAAUUAAGGAUAAGUAUAAAUCUAGAUUUAAAUUUAUCCUUUCCUUAAUUGGUUAGAUCGAUCAAAUCCUAAUUUGAUUCGACUUGAACUUUAUAUUAAUUUGAACAUAUCAAAUUAAUAAUGCAAUAUUUGCACAUAAGUCCUCUUAUAAUUUACUAACUAUUAGUAAGUCCUCUCUUGUAACAUUUACAUAUUAAUACCACUAAUUUGUAACAAUUACAAAUUAGUCCAAUUAUCAACAUAUUGACAAUUAGGUCCUCUGGCGAUUCAAUAAUCGCGAUCUAGCUAUCCGAUCAAUCACAACCUCUUAUAUGUGUGACCCCAUAGGUUCUAUUCUAUCUGGUAGUGAGAUAUAUUUUGAUCACUAUCAACAAUAUCACUGAAACUCCUUUCAGUGGAUCGGAACAAUUCCAAUUCAGCCCAAUGAGAAAUAUCGAUCAUCUAGAUAAUUCUCAUGAGUCUCACAAUCCACCAGUGACGCCUAGCAGCAUGUAGUGGCAUUCCAGUAGAAUGGAAUACUGAACCUCUUGGUACAGUUACCGUGUGAUACAAUCCUUCUAUCAUGAGUCCCGACUAGACAGAGGUUAUAGAAUAACUCGUCAAACCCCAUCGUCUGUCAUAUGUUAAAUUUAUUCGACUCGAGUUUUUAAUAUCGGAAACCUUUUUUCGCUAUUUAUUCUGCCUUGACCAAGGUCUUCUAAACUCGGUCUCAUAAAUCACAUAGGACUAACACCCAUAUCUACCAAGGAAGAUAGAUUCCAUCUAAGUGCGCACCCUAUUCCUACAAUGAACCUACUGCAGCCAACAUGCACCGCAAGGACCCGAAUGGCUA
rnacentral:lncRNA from 1 species